rnacentral:lncRNA from 1 species
UUUCUCAAGGAAACUGGAUUGGCCGAUCGCGACUGGAGCUUCUAUAAUGUGGUCACGAGGACCGAGAAGGAUUUCGUGGACAAGUACAUAUGCCCUCACAAGGAAGCUGCGCCACACCUUGCCGAAGACUAUGCAACCGCUUGCAAAGGGCAGGUGCCAACUAACUUCAGAUUUUUACUUCAACCAAAAGUGGGCUGAGGAAAUUGGCUACUAUGUAUUGCGCAGCAAAGUUUUCACUCGGCAUAGUAAGUUGGUAGUUCCUGUUUUGGUGUUCUUUGCCAAACUAGAUGUUUUUUUUUAAUUUUCUGUAGUAUGCCUGUUACAUGCCGGUUUGGUCAUUGCUAAAUGCUAACUCCUAUGAAACUGAUAAUUUAAUUACUGAACCGUGAUAUGUUGAUGUUGUCAUCCCUUACAGAAGAUCUUUGUGUUUUCCUGAUAAUUUUAUUCCUGAAGCCUACAGUCUAAUUAUAUAUUUUCCUAAAUCAUGGUUGAGCGAAAUAUGUGUUGCUAGUUCCAUUCUAUCAUGUGUUCAGAUUUUAAGAGUGAUCUGGGAAGUAGGAUUUGCCGGCACCUAUCAUGUCCACCUUCAGAUACGUGGACAUGGACCAAUGCAGCCUGCCAAGAUGGUGCUCUGUGAGAUCAAACUUCUUCCACCAAGAAGGGCAUUUGGCCUCAAACUCUGCUCGCUUUUUUUUUUUUGAGAAUUACUCCUCAAUUUAUCUGAUAGGCAUCCUUUUGUUAGUAAGAAAUCGAUCUAUUUUAAUGUGAUUUAGAUAUGCUUCUUAGAGUCAUUGGUUGAUUUUGUUACUGAAAUCUGCACUUACUUCUCUUUGUGUCAUUGCUUCAUUCCAUCCAGUAGUUUGUAAACCACUGGAACAAUAUCAUGAAAAUAUUUUUGUGUUCUGGAAAGUGGAGUUUGCCGGCAUUCCUCCUUCAGAUACGUGGGCAUGAACCAACGCAGCCUGCCAAGAUGGUGCUCAGUGAGAUCAAACUCCUUACACACAAGAGCAUGUGGCAUAAACUCUGCUUGCUCUUAUUCUUUUUUGAGAAUUACUCCUCAAUUUAUCUGCUAGAUAUUCUUUUGUUAGUAAGAAACCCAUCUAUUUUAAUGCGAUUUAGAUAUGCUUCUUCUGGUCAUUGGUUGAUUUCGUUACUGAAAUCUGUACAUGCUUUCUUUGUAUCAUUGCUUCAUGUCAUUAAUUCAAUUCAUGCCUUACAGUUAGUUGUUCAUAGCUGCAGAACUGUAGGGAGUUCCAUCCAAUGGUUUGUAAACUACUGGAACAGUAUCAUGUGAAAAAAUUAGUUUCCUGGUUCUAUUUUGCCUCUCCUUUAUGUGGUCCUAUUUUUUCUUGUUUACGGAUUCUUUGUUAGUGCUCCUUCGCAUUGCAAUCUUGUGCGUCAGAUUGCUGCUGUUUGUGAUCUGGUAACUGAUUCCCAUCAUGUUGCUUAAUUUGCCCUGGUAUUUUUUGUUGUUUCCAUACAGGUUAGUUGGGAGUACAUACUUAUACAAAUGAAAAUACCUUUUAAAUUUGCUUCCAUGGGAAAGUCAUUGCUGAAGUAAUCGUCACAAGAGAUUUGAAGAUCAUAGUUUUUUUAUUUGCAAGAUCUUGCUUAGAUGUGGACCUGGAGAUAGAUAUCCUUGGGCAUGAACUUCGAGAGUGCCUUAACUUAAUACACAGGAUUUAGUGAGUUCAAUGAUCUUACUUUUCAUCUCAAUUUUAAUCGGCGGUGUCGAUAUUUGAAGAUAGGCUUGAGCGUAAUCAAAUGGUAGUGGGGCUCGGUGAUCCUUUAUAUACCAUGCAUAUUUCUCAAUUUGGUGCAACUCGUACACAAAAAUAUGACACAUUCUCUAUAAGUUAUUAAUAGUGAUUUUUUGGGGGGUUCCGUGACUUGAUUCCUAUUUAGAUUCCAGCCUCCUUGCAUGCUAGAGCAAUAACACGGUUUCUGAUGUUCAAUUCGAACUUCCUGAAUUUUUAGGACACUAUUGUCCAUAUUGUUCAACUGUAAUGCCUAAGAUGCACUGUCUUGAAGUUGCGUGGUCAAUGGCUGCUGUUGAUAUAUUUUUAUUGCUUAAUAACCCCAGAAUGUAGAUACGCUGUUCUGAUUUUUUUAUAAUUUCAGCUGCUGUUUAUAUCCCUGAGAUCGUUACCUGCUCAUAAGCUGCAGGCACUGAUUGCCAUCUUCAUACUGGAUCUGUUGAGUUGGGAGCUAUGUACCAGUUAUGUCUGAUUAACCAUGUGUUCUGCUGUAAUCAUCCAAUAUUUUUGCUCGGCUACCUUGCCUUAGGUUUCCACUGCAGCAGCGACCAUCAGACCUCGCUGGCAGGGAAUUUCCAUGCGUUAUGGUUUUGGUCCCGAAAGUUUCUUAAAUUGUUGCUACUUUGACACUGUCUGUUUCAUGCAUUGCUAUUCUGAACUUUAUUAUGAUGUCAGUUCAAUAUUCUAUUUGUAAAUGUGAUGCUGUUUCUGACCAUGGCCAAAGCAUCUAGUCUGUGUUAAUUUGCUAAGGAGGUGUAGUAUAUUCAAGGGUGCAGUAUAUUCAGGGGUGCUACAAAGUUCCAAACUUAAAUGCAACAACACCCAGCAUCAAAACAUUCAGUACUUCAACAAAUUCAGCUUAAUUAGUGUCGCACACACAUUUAUAAACUCUUACACAGACCGAGGUAUGCAGUAUCCAUUGAUAAACAAAACUCCAGAAACUAAAUAAACAGGGGAAAUAAUGUAGUGAUAAUAAAUACAGAAGCGAAAUGAUACUGAUGAAAAAAAGAAUUAAGUCAGAAAUCAAUCAAGUUACAAACUGCAUUGUAACGGAAGGUUGUCUUGGGUGCAGCAGGGCGGCUGCGCUCUUGAAGGCAGACUCAACAUCAGCAAGCACCUGUUGAAUUUUUUUCCUGGACUCGCUGUUGCCGUUGAUGAGACACACGCGGAUGUCCUGGAGGCACGGCAAACAUUCCAUGCCGGCUGGUGUAGCGCCUCUCCACUCCGUGCAGCCGAAUUCCACCAACGUACCUUGGGCAUAGCUCCUGCCUCGAAGCUCAGGCAUCUGUUUUGACCUUUAUAUUAGAGGCAUGGAAGAUGUAUGUUCAGGAGUACUUUACAUAACUACUGAAAGGUUUAGAACCUUAGAGGGCAGCACCUUUGAACAGCAGAGUUUUGCUAUCUGUGCGGUCUUAUUUAGAUGUGGAGAUAGAUAACCUUGGACACGAAACUGGAGAGUUUCCUUAACGUAAGUAUACAUAAUUUGCCGAGUUCUACUUCCAUACCUUUUAUCUAAAUUUUAAUUGGUGUUGUCAAUAUUUGAAGCCAAGCUUGCUCAAAUGGUAGCGAUGUCCUAGUGAUCCUCUACAUACCAUGCAUACUAAUUAGUGGGGAUAUGCACAUGUACUUUGGCGGGUUGGUCGCCUCUUCCACUAUCUAUGCCUCUUGUCCCAUGCGGGCGACACCCGUCCGUGGUCCUAACGCUGUUACUGACUGACGAAAGAACCUGAAGAUGUGGCUGCGGCCUGCAGAUUCUCUACUUGAGGAGGCAGGUUUUGUGUGCCCAAGCUGAAAUUCCAAAUAGCGCAGACCCCAGGAGCUAGUGUGUAAGCAGUUGUGUGUUGUACUUGAACCUUUUGCUGUUCUGCAGAGAAUUUGAUGAUCCUGGUAAAGACAAUUUGUCUGGUAUUAACCUGGUCACCGCCGAUCCCUUUUGUUGGAACUUCCAUUACUGUGACACUGCUGAAGCCUUUAGCCCUAGUAACCUUGUCACAUGGUGCUGAAGUGGCACCUUCAUUAGACUGGAUUUCAAAGCACCCCAGAACCGGGAAUAAUCUUGUGCUGCCAACCAUGACCUUGCCUUGGACAUCUGACAAGCAUCGACGAGGGAGAGAGAAAGAAUCUCUCCCCCCAAGAAUACGAAACUAAUAACUCGAUAGGUGCAAGGCGCGCAAGAGAGGAUCCGGAGGCAAUGUAGCUCAGGAACCCAUUUACUGAAUCCCCAUAUUGGAAGAUGGGGUACCUGAUGGGAAGGAGGGUCAGGUAAUGAGUCCAGCCGAUUGUCAUGCCCACUAAAGGCUAGGUUGGUUCAUGCCCUGGGCACUAUGCCUGGGACGAAGCACAGCCUGAAAAUAGCCUCGGAAACUGCCUGGCUAGGCACGCAUUGGAGGAUGGUGUUUGGUUCCUGAACUUAGCCUGGAGAAAGUUUUACCUAGGAAGAUGUGCUAGACCCUAACAGAAGUAUAGCUAACAUCAUGAUUUGAUCCAGGAUCAUGGAGCAGAUACAGAACCGACCAUGCAUUGGCACCAUAAUAGUACGUUCAAAAGUGUAUAUACACAAUACAUACAUAUACUAUUAAAGCAUAGGCAGGAUUUAUUAGGGACGAACAUUUCCAGACUCUACGUCUGGAUCAUUCGUCAAAGGGCCUGCUGAGUGUUGACCGGCAUAUUCAUUCAUACAUAAAACUGGGAGUAUCAGGUUUACAGUACUCAAGAAAUUAAACAUAUAUACAUACAAUGGAAAACGCAAUAUUUAUAAUAAAAUAAACCAAACAGCAAAGUGAUUAUGCAUGCCUACUAAACUGUAACAGAGGGAUGUCUUGGGUGCGCACUUGCGGCAUUCUUGAAGCCUGCCUUGAUGUUAGCGCGCACAUGCUGGUGCAGAUUUUUGUCCGACUCAACACGGGAGAAUUAAUGUGAGGCGCACACGGAUGUCCUGGAGGCAGGGCAGGCACUCCAUGCCGAAUGGUGUACCGCCUCUCCACUCUUGCCAUCCAAAUGCCACGCUGAGCGUUCGUAGCUUGGGCAUAGCUCCAGCCUCGAAGCUCAGGUAUGCAGUCACAUCUUCAUCAGAACGGAAAAAGAAGUACUCUAAAACAGGGAAUAACCCUGUGCCGACCACGACCUUGUCUUGGGAGAGCUCUGACACGCGGAUGGUGGCAUCAACAAGGGAGGGAAGGUCUCCAAGAACACGAACCUCGUCACUCGACAUGUGCAAGACGUGCAGAGAGACGACCCGGAGGCAACAUAGUUCACCAAUCCAUCUGGGAGCUCGACUGAGCUCCCAUGUUGCUAGAUCAAGCACCUCGAGACGAGGAGGAUCGACUAGUGAGUUCAGCCGGCUGCCAUAGUCAUCUAAUUUACCCCAACACACGAGGGAGAGGUGUUUGAGAUCUCUGAGCAUUUGAAUGGAGGAAACCAAAGCAUUGACGUGUUCAACCGUCAAGCACUGCUCGUAAGGUGUGCAUAACAUCAAUUCCUUCAGAUUGGUUAGCUCACUAAGGCCUUUGAUAUCUUCUAGUGAAUUCUUCAACAUGCCAGUGUAAUGCAAGGUGCGGAUUGAUUUCAUGUUUUGGAUCCCUUCAGGUAGCAUUGCACCAUACGGAAGUUUCAAGUGAAACAAGUUGGCCAAGCGAGUUGUAUCGGAUGGAAAGCUUUGCACUGACCGACAUGAUAACUCCAAACUUUCCAAAUGCACAAGCCCUCGAAUUUCAGUAGGGAGUGCUACAUCUGCUAAUCUGGCUAAGACCUUCAAAUACCUAAGCAGAAAUAAAUGGCCAAUUGCAGUUAGGUCGACUAUCAUGUCCCAUCCAUCUGGAAACUCAAAGAAUAGAACCCGUAGAUACUUAAACUGUGAAAGGUGAGGUAUGUACUUGGACUCUCCGAACCGUGCAUAUGAUCUAACUUGUGACAUGCUAGUAGCAAGGGUCUCCGAUGUUGCACCACCAACACCGGACUUCAGGGAUAACCGAUGAACCUUGUACUCGCAACUUUGUAAUCUUGCCAUGUCUUCAUAGUUAUAUGCCACACUGAUGAAAUUGUUUUCUUUAUUCUUGCUUAUGAUCAAAUCAACCAUCAUGUUGUGUACUCUGCAAGAAACCACAUCCCCAUAGCAUAUUUCUUCAGGUUGAAUCAGACUUCUAUUGAUAAGCUCAUCAAAAUAACUUUUGGCAACGUCUUCCAAAUCUACUCCGUGCAAAUUACAAACAAAGCCUUCGCCUAUUCAUUGGCAAACCAGGUCAUCCUUUCUGAUCACACAGUCUUCUGGAUACAUGCCAAGGUACAAAAAGCAUGGCCAGAGAUGAACGGGAAGAUGCAUGUAGCUAAGGUUUAGUAUAUACUCCUCAUCUCUUCCAUGGUGGGUUCUGUGGCAAACUUGCUACCAAGAGAAGUCUUUAUGCUCCCCUAUUUAGUCAGUGAUCUUGCUUCAUGCCUAGCUAUGGUGAUAAUUGCAAGCGGCACUCCACCACAUUUCUUGAGAAUGUCACCUGAAUUUCCUUGAAACUGUGGUGGGUAGACAAUUUCAUACCCAAAUACUCUAUCAAAAAUAAUCUUCUCGAAUCUUGCUCUUCGAGGUGCUUCAUUCUCAUGUACGAUCAUUGCGACAUGCCCUCACAGCUAUGCCAUCCAAUCGUGUGGUUACCAUUACCCUACUUCCAUUACUGUUUUCCGGAAAGGCGCAACUAAUAAUAUUACAUGUUGGUUGAUCCCAGAAGUCAUCAACUACAAUAAAGUACCUAUUGCGAUUUUGCGCAAGUUAGUACAUGGUCAUAAGUGUUGGUAAUCGUAGCAGAAUUUAAAUUUUUUCCUACGCAUCACCAAGAUCCAUCUAUGAAGUAUACUAGCAACGAGGGGAAAAGAGUGCAUCUACAUACCCUUGUAGAUCGCGAGUGGAAGCGUUCCAAUGAACGGGGUUGAUGGAGUCGUCCUCGCCGUGAUCCAAAUCACCGAUGACCGAGUGCCGAACGGACGGCACCUCCGCGUUCAACACACGUACGGAGCAGCGACGUCUCCUCCUUCUUGAUCCAGCAAGGGGGAAGGAGAGGUUGAUGGAGAUCCAGCAGCACGACGGCGUGGUGGUGGAAGUAGCGGGAUCCCGGCAGGGCUUCGCCAAGCGCAAACGGGACGGAGAGGUGUUGCAGGGGGAGAGGGAGGCGCCAGGGGCUGUGGUGCUGCUGCCCUCCCUCCCCCCCACUAUAUAUAGGCUCCCUGGGGGGGGCGCCGGCCCUGGGAGAUCAGAUCUCCAAGGGGGGGGGGCGGCCAAGGGGGAAGGGGGGGUGGCUUCCCCCCCAAGCCAAGUGGGGCGCCCCCCACCACCAGGGUUUCCAACCCUAGGCGCAGGGGGAGGCCCAAGGGGGGCGCCCCAGCCCACUAAGGGCUGGUUCCCUUCCCACUUCAGCCCAUGGGGCCCUCCGGGAUAGGUGGCCCCACCCGGUGGACCCCCGGGACCCUUCCGGUGGUCCCGGUACAAUACCGAUAACCCCCGAAACCUUCCCGGUGGCCGAAACUGGACUUCCUAUAUAUAAUUCUUCACCUCCGGACUAUUCCGGAACUCCUCGUGACGUCCGGGAUCUCAUCCGGGACUCCGAACAACUUUCGGGUUUCUGCAUACUAAUAUCUCUACAACCCUAGCGUCACCGAACCUUAAGUGUGUAGACCCUACGGGUUCGGGAGACAUGCAGACAUGACCGAGACGCCUCUCCGGUCAAUAACCAACAGCGGGAUCUGGAUACCCAUGUUGGCUCCCACAUGUUCCACGAUGAUCUCAUCGGAUGAACCACGAUGUCGAGGAUUCAAUCAAUCCCGUAUACAAUUCCCUUUGUCAAUCGGUACGUUACUUGCCCGAGAUUCAAUCGUCGGUAUCCCAAUACCUUGUUCAAUAUCGUUACCGGCAAGUCACUUUACUCGUACCGUAAUGCAUGAUCCCGUGGCUAACUCCUUAGUCACAUUGAGCUCAUUAUGAUGAUGCAUUACCGAGUGGGCCCAGAGAUACCUCUCCGUCAUACGGAGUGGCAAAUCCCAGUCUCGAUCCGUGUCAACCCAACAGACACUUUCAGAGAUACCCGUAGUGUACCUUUAUAGUCACACAGUUACGUUGUGACGUUGGGUACACCCAAAGCACUCCUACGGCAUCCGGGAGUUACACGAUCUCAUGGUCUAAGGAAAAGAUACUUGACAUUGGAAAAGCUCUAGCAAACGAACUACACGAUCUUUAGUGCUAUGCUUAGGAUUGGGUCUUGUCCAUCACAUCAUUCUCCUAAUGAUGUGAUCCCGUUAUCAAUGACAUCCAAUGUCCAUAGUCAGGAAACCAUGACUAUCUGUUGAUCAACGAGCUAGUCAACUAGAGGCUUACUAGGGACACGUUGUGGUCUAUGUAUUCACACAUGUAUUACGAUUUCCGGAUAACACAAUUAUAGCAUGAACAAUAGACAAUUAUCAUGAACAAAGAAAUAUAAUAAUAACCAUUUUAUUAUUGCCUCUAGGGCAUAUUUCCAACAGUCUCCCAGUUGCACUAGAGUCAAUAAUCUAGUUACAUUGUGAUGAAUCGAACACCCAUAGCGUUCUGGUGUUGAUCAUGUUUUGCUCUAGGGAGAGGUUUAGUCAACGGAUCUGCUACAUUCAGGUCCGUAUGCACUUUACAAAUAUCUAUGUCUCCAUUUUGAACACUUUCACGAAUGGAGUUGAAGCGACGCUUGAUAUGCCUGGUCUUCCUGUGAAACCUGGGCUCCUUGGCAAGGGCAAUAGCUCCAGUGUUGUCACAGAAGAGAGUCAUCGGGCCCGACGCAUUGGGAAUCACCCCUAGGUCGGUAAUGAACUCCUUCAUCCAGACUGCUUCUUGCGCUGCCUCUGAGGCUGCCAUGUACUCCGCUUCACAUGUAGAUCCCGCCACGACACUUUGCUUGCAACUGCACCAGCUUACUGCCCCUCCAUUCAAAAUAUACACGUAUCCGGUUUGUGACUUCGAGUCAUCCAGAUCUGUGUCGAAGCUAGCGUCGACGUAACCCUUUACGACGAGCUCUUCGUCACCUCCAUAAACGAGAAACAUAUCCUUAGUCCUCUUCAGGUACUUCAGGAUAUUCUUGACCGCUGUCCAGUGUUCCAUGCCGGGAUUACUUUGGUACCUUCCUACCAAACUUACAGCAAGGUUUACAUCAGGUCUGGUACACAGCAUGGCAUACAUAAUAGACCCAAUGGCCGAGGCAUAGGGGAUGACACUCAUCUUUUCUCUAUCUUCUGCCGUGGUCGGGCAUUGAGCCGUGCUCAAUUGCACACCUUGCAAUACAGGCAAGAACCCCUUCUUGGACUGAUCCAUAUUGAACUUCUUCAAUAUCUUGUCAAGGUACGUACUCUGUGAAAGACCAAUGAGGCGUCUUGAUCUAUCUCUAUAGAUCUUGAUGCCUAAUAUAUAAGCAGCUUCUCCAAGGUCCUUCAUUGAAAAACACUUAUUCAAAUAGGCCUUUAUACUUUCCAAGAAUUCUAUAUCAUUUCUCAUCAAUAGUAUGUCAUCCACAUAUAAUAAGAGAAAUGCUACAGAGCUCCCACUCACUUUCUUGUAAACACAGGCUUCUCCAUAAGUCUGUGUAAACCCAAACGCUUUGAUCAUCUCAUCAAAACGAAUGUUCCAACUCCGAGAUGCUUGCACCAGCCCAUAGAUGGAGCGCUGGAGCUUGCAUACCUUGUUAGCAUUCUUAGGAUCGACAAAACCUUCCGGCUGCAUCAUAUACAAUUCUUCCUUAAGAAAGCCGUUAAGGAAUGCCGUUUUGACAUCCAUCUGCCAUAUCUCAUAAUCAUAGUAUGCGACAAUUGCUAACAUGAUUCGGACGGACUUCAGCUUCGCUACGGGUGAGAAAGUCUCAUCGUAGUCAACCCCUUGAACUUGUCGAUAACCCUUAGCGACAAGUCGAGCCUUAUAGAUGGUCACAUUACCAUCCGCGUCUGUCUUCUUCUUAAAGAUCCAUUUAUUUUCUAUCGCUCGCCGAUCAUCGGGCAAGUCUGUCAAAGUCCACACUUUGUUUUCAUACAUGGAUCCUAUCUCGGAUUUCAUGGCUUCUAGCCAUUUGUCGGAAUCCGGGCCCGCCAUCGCUUCUUCAUAGUUCGAAGGUUCACCGUUGUCUAACAACAUGAUUUCCAGGGCAGGGUUGCCGUACCACUCUGGUGCGGAACGUGUCCUUGUGGACCUUCGAAGUUCAGCAGUAACUUGAUCCGAAGCUUCAUGAUCAUCAUCAUUAACUUCCUCCCCAGUCGGUGUAGGCACCACAGGAACAUCUUCCCGCUGCGCUACUUUCCGGUUCGGAAAGGGUGACUAUCACCUCAUCAAGUUCCACUUUCCUCCCACUCAAUUCUUUCGAGAGAAACUCUUUCUCCAGAAAGGACCCGUUCUUGGCAACAAAGAUCUUGCCUUCGGAUCUGAGGUAGAAGGUAUACCCAAUAGUUUCCUUAGGGUAUCCUAUGAAGACGCAUUUUUCCGACUUGGGUUCGAGCUUUUCAGGUUGAAGUUUCUUGACAUAAGCAUCGCAUCCCCAAACUUUUAGAAACGACAGCUUAGGUUUCUUCCCAAACCAUAAUUCAUACGGUGUCGUCUCAACGGAUUUCGACGGUGCCCUAUUUAAAGUGAAUGCGGCAGUCUCUAAAGCAUAGCCCCAAAAUGAGAGCGGUAGAUCGGUAAGAGACAUCAUAGAUCGCACCAUAUCCAAUAGAGUGCGAUUACGAUGUUCGGACACACCGUUUCGCUGAGGUGUUCCAGGCGGCGUGAGUUGUGAAACGAUUCCACAUUUCCUUAAGUGCGUACCAAAUUCGUGACUUAAAUAUUCUCCACCACGAUCUGAUCGUAAGAACUUUAUUUUCCUGUCACGUUGAUUCUCAACCUCACUCUAAAAUUCCUUGAACUUUUCAAAGGUUUCAGACUUGUGUUUCAUUAGGUAGACAUACCCAUAUCUACUUAAGUCAUCAGUGAGAGUGAGAACAUAACGAUAUCCUCCGCGAGCCUCAACACUCAUUGGACCGCACACAUCGGUAUGUAUGAUUUCCAAUAAGUUGGUUGCUCGCUCCAUUGUUCCGGAGAAUGGAGUCUUGGUCAUCUUACCCAUGAGGCAUGGUUCGCACGUGUCAAAUGAUUCGUAAUCAAGAGACUCCAAAAGUCCAUCUGCAUGGAGCUUCUUCAUGCGCUUGACACCAAUGUGACCAAGGCGGCAGUGCCACAAGUAUGUGGGACUAUCGUUAUCAACUUUACAUCUUUUGGUAUUCACACCAUGAAUAUGUGUAACAUCACGUUCGAGAUUCAUCAAGAAUAAACCAUUGACCAGCGGGGCAUGACCAUAAAACAUAUCUCUCAUAUAAAUAGAACAACCAUUAUUCUCGGAUUUAAAUGAGUAGCCAUCUCGAAUUAAACGAGAUCCAGAUACAAUGUUCAUGCUCAAAGCUGGCACUAAAUAACAAUUAUUGAGGUUUAAAACUAAUCCCGUAGGUAAAUGCAGAGGUAGCGUGCCGACGGCGAUCACAUCGACCUUGGAACCAUUCCCGACGCGCAUCGUCACCUCGUCCUUCGCCAGUCUCCGCUUAUUCCGCAGUUCCUGUUUUGAGUUACAAAUAUGAGCAACCGCACCGGUAUCAAAUACCCAGGAGCUACUACGAGUACUGGUAAGGUACACAUCAAUUACAUGUAUAUCACAUAUACCUUUGGUGUUGCCGGCCUUCUUGUCCGCUAAGUAUUUGGGGCAGUUCCGCUUCCAGUGACCACUUCCCUUGCAAUAAAAGCACUCAGUCUCAGGCUUGGGUCCAUUCUUCGACUUCUUCCCGGCAACUGGCUUACCGGGCGCGGCAACUCCCUUGCCGUACUUCUUGAAGUUCUUCUUACCCUUGCCUUUCUUGAACUUAGUGGUUUUAUUCACCAUCAACACUUGAUGUUCCUUUCUGAUCUCCACCUCCGCUGAUUUCAGCAUCAAAUAUACCUCAGGAAUGGUCUUUUCCAUCCCCUGCAUAUUGAAGUUCAUCACAAAGCUCUUGUAGCUCGGUGGAAGCGACUGAAGGAUUCUGUCAAUGACCGCGUCAUCCGGGAGAUUAACUCCCAGCUGAGACAAGCGGUUGUGUAACCCAGACAUUCUGAGUAUGUGCUCACUAACAGAACUAUUUUCCUCCAUUUUACAGCUGAAGAACUUGUCAGAGACUUCAUAUCUCUCGACCCGGGCAUGAGCUUGGAAAACCAUUUUCAGCUCUUCGAACAUCUCAUAUGCUCCAUGUUUCUCAAAACGCUUUUGGAGACCCGGUUCUAAGCUGUAAAGCAUGCCGCACUGAACGAGGGAGUAAUCAUCAGCACGUGAUUGCCAAGCGUUCAUAACGUCUUGGUUCUCUGGGAUUGGUGCUUCACCUAGCGGUGCUUCUAAGACAUAAUCUUUCUUGGCAGCUAUGAGGAUGAUCCUCAGGUUCCGGACCCAGUCUGUUUAGUUGCUGCCAUCAUCUUUCAGCUUGGUUUUCUCUAGGAACGCGUUGAAGUUGAGGACAACGUGGGCCAUUUGAUCUACAAGACAUAUUGUAAAGAUUUUAGACUAAGUUCAUGAUAAUUAAGUUCAUCUAAUCAAAUUAUUCAAUGAACUCCCACUCACAUAGACAUCCCUCUAGUCAUCUAAGUGAAACAUGAUCCGAGUUAACUAGGCCGUGUCCGAUCAUCACGUGAGACGGACUAGUCAAGAUCGGUGAACAUCUCCAUGUUGAUCGUAUCUUCUAUACGACUCAUGCUCGAUCUUUCGGUCCUCCGUGUUCCGAGGCUCCUUCCACAACUUCCUCCGUCUGCUCAAGCGCUCAUCCUGCCUGUUGUUUUCGGACCUCGACAAGGUUGUCAAGCCCAAUGUUGCCUUCCUGAGGGAGUGCGGGCUAGGUGAUUGUGAUAUUGCCAAGCUGUGUAUCUGGGAGCCGAGGAUGCUGGCAAUUAACCCGGAGCGCGUCCGCGCAAUGGUGGCAUGUGCUGAAAGAUUAGGUGUACCUCGUGGCGAUGGGAUGUUCAGGCUAGCGCUACAGGCUGUCGCGUUUCUCAACGAGGAGAAGAUUGCCGGCAAAGUGGACUACUUGAAGAAUACAUUCAGGUGGUCUGAUGCCCAAGUGCGCAUUGCUGUGUGUGGCGCUCCGUUUGUGCUGAGGAAGUCCAAGGAAUCUCUGAAGCGUAGGUCUGAGUUCCUAUUCUCUGAAGUGGGACUGGAACCCGUUUACGUUGCUCAUCGACCGAUAAUUCUCUGUCUUAGCCUGGAUGGACGGGUCAGGCCCAGGUACUAUGUUCUGAAGUUCCUCAAGGAAAAUGGAUUGGUAGAUCGCAAGCUGAGCUUCCAUACUGCAGUCAUGAUGACUGAGAAGGUAUUUGUGGAGAAGCUCAUAUGCCCUCACAAGGAAGCUGCACCACACCUCUCUGAAGACUAUGAAACAGCUUGCAAAGGGGAAGUGCCAACUAAUUUCAUAUUUACAUGAACAAAAAACGGCUAUGGAAAUUGGUUACAGUGUAUGGCGCAACAAUGUUAUCAUCCUGCGUGUAAGCUGUUAGUACUUUCCUGUUUCGUUAUUCUUUGCCUAAGAUGAUGUUGGUUGUUUUCUGUAGUAUGCCCGUUACAUGACAGUUUGGCAUUGCUAAAUGCGAACUCCCUAUGACACUGAUAAUUUGGUUCCUGAGCCCAGUAUGUUGAUGUUGCUAUUCCUUACAGAGUAUCUCUGUAAAUGAGAAGUUCAUGGAUAUAUUUGUGUUUCUGACUUCCAUUAAAGAUCAUGGAAAUAGGAUGUGUGGGUGGACCAAUUUUAUGAUGAACCCAGCAUUCACAAAACUAGAAACCAAAAUAGUAAUGCGGUGUCCUUUUCCACCAAAAUGUAUCAGUAUGAUCUGCUUCCAUGCCAAAAUUUAUUUAUCAUGCAUGUUCGUUUUCAUUUCCUUGUCUUUUAGAUUCCACUCUAUGUAAAUUAGUACUAACUGUGUUUAAUAUUUAGGUUAGAUUUAUAGACACUGAGACCUUCCACUGGUUGUCCACUCUAUGUAGGGUUCUGGCUGCAUUUAAUGAGCAACAGGGGUAGCAAUCCCCGCUGCUGUUACCAUGCCAUUAUAUACAAACAUGUUUCCUGUUUGAACACAUGAAAGAUCAGUCAUUUAGAUCUGAAAAAGAAGAGAAAAUUGCAGCAACUACAGGUGAUUAAAUGUUGUUUAAAAGCUGCAAACUGCAGGUGAUUACCGACAAGAUGAGAAAUAGUAUAUAUUCAGUGAACACAGAGUAUAAUAUAUACCUAGGUGAUGAAUAGUAUAUAUUCAGAUAAGAUGGGUAUCAGUACGAAAAAUUCACCCUGCUGUUAAGAUUCAUAAAAUUUUCUUAGAAGAGUUUUACUUGAGCAAAAUUAAUGGUUAAGAUAGCUUGAUACUGUCUUUGGGACACUUAUUUUGGGACGGAGGGAGUAACUUUCGCGGAGAUUAGAAUUAUGUUUAUGCAGAAGUUACAGCUAACUGUCUCAAGUAAAAGAAAGACAAAUUAGUCUGAUGUAAAUUUCUGCUGCACUGAAGCAUAAUAUUGUGAUUCUGAAUUAUCACAUUAAGCAUGAGUAUAUUUUUGUGACUUUGAAAUGACCGACGCUGCAAGUGGUUUGAGGUUUCUAAUGAUCAGUUAAGACUAUUAAACAUUAAUUUUUGUCUGAAGAAGUGGGUGUUUCGAUUGAUGCAUCGGGUCAAAAUUGUAUAUGUGAUUUAGGUUAACAUUGCAAUGACCACUUUUCUUGGAACACAAAACUAAGUUAUUAUUAUAUACUAGCCCCCCAUGAUUCUGUUGUAUAUAAAUUCAGUUUUGUGUUCUGGCUACACAUUUGUUUAGGUGCAGACCUGUCCCUCUGCCUGGUGCCGCCACCGCCGCCUGCGCCAUGCUCGGGCUCCGGCUCCGAGAGUGCAUCCUUUCCCAUAUCCUCUCUUCUCCCUCCAAAGCUGCAUUCUCUCCACUCCGCCGCCUCCUCUCCGCCACAGGGGCCCCCGUUUUCCUGAACCCUAUUAGCUUCGCCGUCGAGGACUACCUCGUCGGUACCUGCGGCCUCACCCGUCCCCAAGCCCCCAAGGCCUCGAAGAAGCUCUCCCACCUCAAGUCCCCCACUAAUCCCGACAACGUCCUCGCUGGCCUCGGCCUCUCCGGCGCCGAUGCCGCCGCCAUCGUCGCCAAAGACCCGCAGUUCCUCUGCGCCAGCGUGGACAAAACCCUGUCCCCCGUCGUCGCCGGGCUCACCCGCCUCGGCCUGUCUAGUCCUGAGAUUGGCCGCCUUGUCUCGGUCGUCCACAAACAAUGUCGUUACAGAUCCAUCAUCUCCAAGAUGCAGUACUAUCUGCCCCUCUUCGGCUCCUGCCACAACUUCCUCAGGGCGCUCCAGCGCUCGUCCUACUCCUACCUUCUCUCGUCGGACCUCGAUAAGUUGGUCAAGCCCAAUGUUGCCUUCCUGAGGGAGUGCGGGCUAGGUGCUUGUGAUAUUGCCAAGCUGUGUAUCCGGGAGCCGAGGAUACUGGCAAUUAACCCGGAGCGCGUCCGGGCAAUGGCGGCAUGUGCUGAAAGACUAGGUGUGCGCCGCGGCUCUGGUAUGUUCAGGCUAGCGCUACAGGCUGUCGCGUUUCUCAGCGAGGAGAAGAUUGCCGCCAAAUUGGACUACUUGAAGAAUACUUUCAGGUGGUCUGAUGCCCAAGUGAGCAUUGCUGUGCGCAAGUAUCCAAAUCUGCUGGGGAAGUCAAAGGAAUCUCUGAAGCGCAGGUCCGAGUUCCUGGUCUCUAAGGUGGGGGUGGAACCCGUGUACAUUGCUCAUCGACCGACAUUGCUCUCUUAUAGCAUGGAGGGCCGACUCAGACCCCGGUACUAUGUUAUAAAGUUUCUCAAGGAAAAUGGACUGCUAGAUGGUGACCUGAGCUUCUUUACUGCGGUCAAGAUGACUGAGAAGGUAUUUAUGGAGAAACUCAUAUCCCCUCACAAGGAAGCUGCACCACACCUUGCUGAAGACUAUGCAACAGCUUGCAAAGGGGAAGUGCCAACUAAUUUCAUAUUUAGAUGGACCAGGAACAGGCUAUGAAAAUCCGUAACCUGUGUAUGGUGCAAGAAAUUUUUCACUCUGUGUAGUAAGUUGGUAACUCCUGCCUUGGUGUUUAGGCCUAACUGGAUGUUCACUAUCUUUUCCAGUGUGUUUGUUACUUGCCAGUUUGCUCAUUGCUAACUCUUGAUGUAACUAGUAAUAAAUUGAUUUCUGAACCCCGAUAUGCUGUUGUUGUCAUUCCUUAGAGAAGAUCCUUCAAAAUAUCAGUCUGGUCUGCUUUUAUGGCAAUUUUUAUCUAGCAUGUUCCCUUUUGAUUUCAUUGUAUUUUCAGUUGCAUCAUAUUUCAGUUAGUACUAAGUUUGUGGUUCAAUGUUCAGUAUUUGGAUUAUUCUUACAAAUAUUAUGACAGUUAGUACUAAAGUUUGUAGUUCAAUGUUAAGUAUUUACAUUAUGCUUAGAUAUAUAUAUUUCUAAUUGAUGUCGGUUCUUUUUUAACCUUUUGUUUUCUUCCUCCUUAUUCAUUCCUAAAUACCACAGUUGACCUUUCUUUAGUUUGGAAAUUCUCAAAUUUCUACAUAUGAAUCAGUCUUAUCAUUUGCACCCCUCAUUAAUUGUCAGAAUAAACCAAUUGAGGUGCCAUGUAUAACAAGCAAAUCCAAUGAAGUUUGAACUAACACUUGUUCUUGUGGACAUAUGAAGAAGAAAAGGCUAUGAGAUUUUCCCACUACAACCUACUGCUUGCACUGAGGGCAAACGUUUUUUUCUUCAUAUCUGUCUACAAUUCAGUGAAAUCGUAGAUUUAUGAAUAUAGUUUGCAACAAAAUUCAUCCCAGUUUUCUGCCUUGAAACGACACUGAGACCUUCGAUCUGUUGUCCAUCCUAACAUAAAAAGUUGCGAAUUGUUUUCUUUAGCAAGGACUAAGAUUUCAGAGUUGCUCGACUAGUACUUGUCUUGCAACCAAAUUAGUGUCGCAACAUGUCCACGAGUCAGUGCCCUGGGCACUUGGAAUCCUUGGUGUUUAGUGAUGUAUGUAUCUGUUCUGAUGGUGUUUAAUGAGAAGCAGGGAUAACUCACCGUGCUACUCUUACCAUGACAUUAUAUGCAAACAUUUUUCCUGUUGAAACACGUGAAAGAUCACAACCAUAUCGAUCUGAAAAAGAAGAGAAAAAAAUGGGAAAUAGUAUAUAUUCAGUAAAAACAAAAUAUUAGUUCAUGAAUUAGUAAAGGUUAUACCUCGGUGAUGAAGUGCACAUCAGCACGGUGACUCCAACUCGCUUGUCAGCCAUUGGAUGUAGUGCGCCUCUGUUCUUUUGCUUGUGCAGAGCGUCAGCAGAUCUGGGCUGCUAUUGCAAUUUUUUGUUCUGCGCAGUGACUUGAACUGAGGUGAGUUAACUUGCUUUUCCUGAAUUUCAUGAUCCNNNNNNNNNNNNNNNNNNNNNNNNNNNNNNNNNNNNNNNNNNNNNNNNNNNNNNNNNNNNNNNNNNNNNNNNNNNNNNNNNNNNNNNNNNNNNNNNNNNNNNNNNNNNNNNNNNNNNNNNNNNNNNNNNNNNNNNNNNNNNNNNNNNNNNNNNNNNNNNNNNNNNNNNNNNNNNNNNNNNNNNNNNNNNNNNNNNNNNNNNNNNNNNNNNNNNNNNNNNNNNNNNNNNNNNNNNNNNNNNNNNNNNNNNNNNNNNNNNNNNNNNNNNNNNNNNNNNNNNNNNNNNNNNNNNNNNNNNNNNNNNNNNNNNNNNNNNNNNNNNNNNNNNNNNNNNNNNNNNNNNNNNNNNNNNNNNNNNNNNNNNNNNNNNNNNNNNNCACUAGGAGGGAUGUACAUGCUUGUGUUGGUCAGUGCUUUAUAUUUACGUGGGGACAAAUGCAUUGGAUAUUUUGUUCAAAUAGGAGGGAUAUAUCUAAUCAUAUUGCCAUUUUCUUGCUGUUUUAGUUGCUGCCACAGUGAAGUCGCUGCAUAGGUAAUGGUCACAUCAGAUUUGAAGAGGAUAGUUUUUCUAUUUGCAUGAUCUUACUUGGAUGUAGUAGAUGUGAAGCUCAGCUCUAGCGUACACUCUGCUGUCGGUAUUUAGAAAAAUGUAAUACCUAUUUCCUAAGAUGCACCGCCCUGAACAUUUUUAGGAGAAUGGCUGCUGUUGAUAAAACCCCAAGAUGAUAGGUGCACUGUUCUGGAUUUUUAGGAUAUCAGCUAUCCUAUGUAUCUUUGAGUUGCUAAUUUCAAAUUAAUAGAAUUCAACAUCUUUAUCCCCAUUUGCAUUCUUGUUCGAGUUGCGUCUGAUUAACCAUGUGUUCCACUUAUGUAAUCAUAUCCGGUCCCUGCUCUCUGUUUCUGUAUCCAUGUGCUCCACCACAAUGGUAACCAUCAGGCCUCGCCGGCAAAUCUUGAGCGUUGUCAAUGGUUUUUGUUCUGAUUGGAGACGAGUGAUAAGGAUUGUGACGACGGGAGUUUUUGGCAGGAAAUUUGCUUGGAUCUCUGGCAACACGAUCCAUAAAUUGAUUGACUCUGCCCAACUUGAGCUGCUGUGCUGUGUUUGUGAAUCACGGACGAUGGAAAAUAGAAGAUGACGGGUGUGGUGAAGAAUUCGAAGGGAUCUCUGAAGCACAGGUCUGAGUUCCUGUUCUCUAAGGUGGGGGUGGAACCCGUGUACAUUGCUUAUCGAUCGGAAAUACUUUCUUAUAGCAUGGUGGACCGACUCAGACCUGGGAACUAUGUUAUCAAGUUUCUCAAUCAAAAUGGACUGCUAGAUCGUGACUUGAGCUUAUAUUCUGCAGUCAAGAUGACUGAGAAGGUAUUUGUGGAGAAGCUCAUAUGUCCUCACAAGGAAGCCGCACCACACCUCGCUGAAGAUUAUGCAGCAGCUUGCAAAGGGGAAGUACCAACUAAUUUCAGAUUUACAUGAACAAAGAAGGGCUAUGGAAAUUGGUUACAGCCUAUGGCACAACAAAGUUAUCACCCUGUCUGUAAGCUGGUACUUCCUGUUUCGGUGUUCUUUCCCUAAGAUGAUGUUGGUUGUUUACUGUAGUAUGCCUGUUACAUGCUAGUUAGUCAUUGCUAAGUGCUAACUCCUUAUGAAACUGAAAAUUUGAUUCCUGAACCCCCAUAUGUUGAUGUUGUCAUUUCUUAGAGAAGAUCUCUGUAAAUGAGAAGUCCAUGGAUAUAUAUUUGAUUCCGACUUCCAUUGAAGAUGAUGCAAAUUGGAUGCGUGGGUGGAUCAAUUUUGUAUUGAAACCACUACCCACGAAACCAGAAAGCAAAAGAGUAAUGAUGUGUUGUUUUCCACCGAAAUGUAUCACCCUGCUGUCCGGAUUCAUAAUUUUUUCUUAAAAAAGUUUUACUUGAGCAAAAUUAAUGGUUAAGAUGCUAGAUUUUUUCGCUGGUAUUAGACUUGUGUUUUACUCAUAAGUUCCAGCUAACUAUCUCGAAUAAAGGAAGACUGACCUAAUUAGACUGACCUAAUUAGUCGCCAAAGACCCGCGGCUCCUAUGCGCCAAAGUGGACAAAACCCUGGCCCCCGUCGUCGCCGGGCUCACCGGCCUCGGCCUGUCUAGUCCUGAGAUUGGCCAACUGGUCUCGCUUGCCCGCACCCGCUUUCGCUGCAGAGCCGUCGUCUCCAGGCUGCAGUACUACCUGCCACUCUUCGGCUCAUUCGACAACUUACUCCGGCUGCUCAAGCGCGAAUCCAACCUUCUCUCGAUCGACCUUGACAAGGUGGUCAAGCCCAAUGUCGUGUUCCUGAGGGAGUGCGGGCUAGGUGAUUGUGAUAUUGCCAAGCUGAGUAUCCGUGUGCCUAGGAUGCUCAUCACCAACCCGGAGCGCGUCCGGGCGAUGGUCGCACGUGCCGAAACAUUAGGUGUGCCCCGCUGCUCUGGGAUGCUCAGGGAAGUGCUACAGGCUGUCGCGUUUCUCAGCAAGGAGAAGAUUGCCGCCAAAGUGGACUACUUGAAGAAUACCUUCAGGUGGUCUGAUGCCGAAGCUUGCAUUGCUGUGCGCAAGUAUCCGAGUGUGUUGAAGAAGUCAAAGGAAUCUCUGAAGCGCAGGUCUGAGUUCCUGAUCUCUGAGGUGGGGCUGGAACCUGUGUCCAUUGCUCAUCGACCAGUAGUUCUCAGUCUUAGCCUGGAGGGCCGGCUCAGACCCCGGUACUAUGUUAUAAAGUUUCUCAAGGAAAAUGGACUGCUAGAUCGUGACCCGAGCUUCUUUACUGCGGUCAAUAUCUCUGAGAAGGUAUUUAUGGAGAAAAUCAUAUCCCCUCACAAGGAAGCUGCACCACACCUUGCUGAAGACUAUGCAACAGCUUGCAAAGGAGAAGUGCCAACUAAUUUCAGAUUCAUGUGAACAAAAAAAUGGCUAUGGAAAUUGGUUACAGUGUAUUGCGCAACAAAGUUAUCACCCUGUAAGCUUGUACUUUGUGUUUCGGUGUUCUUUGCAUAACAUGCUGUUGCCUGUUGCUAAAUGCUAACUCCCUAUGAAACUGGUAAUUUGAUUCCUGAACCUCUAUUUGUUGAUGUUGUCAUUCCUUAGAGAAGAUCUCUGUAAAUGAGAAGUUCCUGGAUAUAUUUGUGUUUCCAACUUCCAUGAAAGAUCAUGAAAAUUGGAUGUGGUGGCUGAACCAAUUUUAUGAUGAACCCAGCAUUCACGAAACCAGAAACGAAAUGAGUAAUGUGGUGUCGUUUCCCAUGAAAAUGUAUCAGUAUGAUCUGCUUCCAUGCCAAAAUUUAUUUACCAUGCAUGUUCAUUCACAUUUCUUUGUCUUUUAGGUUCCACCGUAUAUGUCAAUGAGUACUAACAUUGUUUUCUAUUUAGGUUAGACUUACAGACACCAAGACCUUCUACUGGUUGUCCAUUCUAUAACCUAAAGAGUGGCAAAUUAUUGUGAUUUGUGAUGUAUAUGUGUUCUGGCUGUGUUCAUUGAGCAACAGGGGUAACAAUCCCAGCUGCUGUUUCCAUGCCAUUAUAUACAAACAUUUUUCCUGUUUGAACUCAUGAAAGAUCACAGUCAUUUAGAUCUGAAAAAGAAGAGAAAAUUGCAUCAACUACUUGUAUUGUUUAAAAGCUGCAAACUGCAGCUGAUGACCGACAAGAUGAGAAAUAGUAUAUAUUCAGUGAACACAGAGUAUAUACCUAGGUGAUGAAUAGUAUAAAUUCAGAUAAGAUGGGCAUCAGUACGAAAAAAUCACCCUGCUGUUAAGAUUCAUAAACUUUUCUUAAAAGAGUUUUACUUGAGCAAAAUUAUUAGUUAAGAUAGCUUGAUACUCCCUCUGUCCCAAAUAAGUGUCUCUAAAGUUGAGACACUUAUUUUGGGACAGAGGGAGUAUUUUUAACGGGGAUCAGAAUCAUGUUUAUGCAGAAGUUACAACUAACUAUCUCUCAAGUAAAAGAAAAACAAGUUAGUCUGAUUUAAAUUUUUUGUUGCACUGAAGCAUAAUAUGGUGAUUCUGAAUUACCACAUUAAGCAUGAGUAUAUUUUUCUGACUUUGAAAUGAUGGAUGCUGCAAGUGGUUUGAGGUUUCUAAUGAUCAGUUCAGACUAUUAAACAUUAGUUUCUGUUUGAAGAAGUGGGUGUUUCGAUUGAUGCGUCAGGUCAAAAUUGCAUAUGUGAUUUUGGUUAGCAUUGCAAUGACCACUUUUCUUGGAACACAAAAGUAAGUUAUUAUUAUAUACUAGCACCCCACGAUUCUGUUGUAUAUAAAUUCAGUUUUGUGUUCUGGUUACACAUUUGUUUAGGUACAGACCUGUCCCUCUGCCUGGUGCUAUUAGGUGUGCCCUUUCAGAAACCAGCAUUGUGUUGCACAGCUGUUUAUGUUUGUAUAGUUUAUAACUUCCAGUUACAAAGAUUUAAGUAUCUACAUGUUGCAAAAGAAAAGAGUAUCCACAUCCAGUAGUAUCUAACAUUUAAAUUCAGUUCUUUCUCCAUACUGAUUCACAUCCAGUAUUCAGCUUGUUUCUUACAGCUAGUUCUGCUUUAGUUAUCAACCCCAUCCCUUGGAAGAAAGAAGGUAGCACCAAAGAUUGCAGUUAAUAACUUAAAAUUGUAUCUUCAGUUCACUCUGUUCACUUAAUAUUUCUGUCACGGCUACUACAAACUUCGACCAUGGUAUGUUAUAUGAAAUUAAAAAAAUGGAAACUAUGAAAGAAUGUUGCAAAAGUUUUUUGACGAGCGAUUGCAUGCUCCCUCAGCGGAAGCAGCAAAGCUCGGGGCAUUCUAAGGCAUCAUCACCUGGCACAUUGGCACUGAUGUUUUCCUUGCCAGAAGCAGUUGAGCCAAGGUGGAUGAUGCAGCCCAGGAACAAGUGGUGAAGACCAUUCAUUGAGCGGCCCUAUGCUACCUGGCCGGGCCUCCUUAUGACAAAAAGAUUACUGGAUCUGGCACAUGAUUGCUUCCCCUUGCGCAGUAGUUCGAUUUAUGGUUAAGGUAGCUUGACUUUUUUUCACUGGGAUUAGACUCAUUUUUACUCAGAAGUUCCAGCUAACUAUCUCUCAAGUAAAAGAAAAAAGAACCUUAUUAGUCUGAUCUAAUUUUGCUGCUGCACUGAAGCCUAAUACGGUGACGCUGAAUUACCAUAUUUUCCUUACUUUGGAAGGAUGGACGACUGCAGAUGGGUUGAGUUUUGUAAUGUUCAGUUCUGACUAUUAAAUAUUCAUUUUUGACUGAAGAAGUAGGUGUUUCGAUUGAUGUGUCAUAUAUAUAUAUAUAUAUAUAUAUAUAUAUAUAUAUAUAUAUGAUUAAGGUGAGUGGUGUGUUUCUCAGGUUUACAUUGCAAUGACCACUGUUCCUAGAAACACGAACUGAAUUUAUGAUUAUACACUAGGCCCGUGUGAUUCAGUUUUAUAUAAAUUCAGUUUCUGUUUUGGUACACAUUUCUUUCGGCGCAGACCUGUCCCUCUGUCUGGUUAGUAUGAGGUGCGCCCUUUCAGAAACCAGCAUUGUAUUGUGCCACAACUGUUUAUGUUUAUAUAGUGUUUCUAACUUCCAGCUACAAUGAUUUAAGUAUUCACAUGUUGCAAAAGAAAAGAUUAUCCACGUCCAGUAUCUGACAUAUAAAUUCAGUUCUUUUCUCCACCCUGAUUCAUAUCCAGUAAUCAGCUUGUUUCUUACAGCUAGCUCUGCUUUAGCUAUAUUUUAUUGCAGUUAAUAAUGCAUCUACAGUCCCUUCUAUGUUAUAUGAAACAAAAACAUGGAUAAUGUGAAAACAUGUUUCAUGACAAAUUUAGUGAGCAAUUGCAGGUCUUAGCAAAAGCAGAACCCAAGCGAUGAAAACCGAAGGAUAAAGAAGUUCGGAAGGGGAGGAAACCACAGCCCAGGAGGAGAACCCAAACUCAUAGAAAUAGAGCUAGCCAUAUUCUGAGGGCUCAGAGGGCUCUGUCCCGGCUGGUGUCAUUGAACGCCUGGUACCUAGCCAGAUUCCUUGCCUCCUCCACCGGUGUCGGUCCGAUGCGCCACCCCAUCUUGGGCACGAGGAGGGUCACCGCCGACAACCUUGCCACCGCGGAGUUGGUGACCAUAUCCACAUGGUGAUCGACCCUUGCCAGCACUCUACUGCUAUUGGUGAUAAGCUCCAUGACUCCAUCUGGUGCCGAAGUUGAUGACAGACACAUCGGGUAUUGCGGGACGAUGAGCCACCUUCUAUCAUGCGAUGUCACCCUGGCAUUGGGAGAGCAUGGUGACGAGGUGGCGGUCGUAGCGUGGGAAGAAGCCAAGCGUGGCGGUUGGGGUCUGAGCAUGGAGGGUCACCCCCAACGGUGGUGAGCCAGAGCGGUGUCUGACAAAAACAAAGUGCGUGAGUGUACCUGUAAGAAGCCGAACUCCAUGCCAGCCUGGAUAACAUGGCUGAAUGGUCUCAUCUAAUUAUGUUUCUCCAAAUCAUGGUUGAACGAAUUAUGUGUUGUCAAUUCUAUUUUUUUCCCAUGUUCAGAUUCAAGGAGUGAUUUGGGAAGUAUCAGUAUUCAGUGAUGGGCAUCUUCAGAUACGUGGACAUGGGCAGUGAGCUCAUGCUCUCCUUCCACUAAGAAAGGCAUGUAGCCUCAAGCUCGGCUUACUCUUUGAUUUUUUUUUUUGUGAGAACUGCUCCUCUUUCAACCUGGUGGAUUUGAUAUUUGUUACUCCCUCCGUUCCAAAAUAUAGGAGAUAUAGUUUUUGGCACGGAAAUUAAAGAACAUAUGUGGAGGGAAAAUUUCACAAGUUUUGGGCGAGAUUGCACCUAACUAAUUAACAUGAGAAAAUAGAGGAGCUUGCAUAAUAUCAGGAAAUGUAAUCAAAUCCCUAAAAAAAUUAUCCAAACGAGAGUGGUGGAACGCAAUACACCUUAUAUUUCAGAUUUUUUUUUUCAAAAAUCUAUACACCUUAUAUCAAGGAACGGAGGGAGUAUAAAAAAUCCAUGUACUGUUUUGCUUCUUCCAUAUACUGAUACUUCCCAAAUCACUCCAGCCUUAACUUAAAUAAACAUAAUUUAGUGUCGAAAUUUGAAGCCAAGCUCCAGCCUACUGAAAUGGUAGUGAGAUUCACUGAUCCUUCACAUACCAUGCAUAUUUCUUGGUUUCUUAAAAAAAUAGCAUUCUGUAUAAGCUAAUACUGAUGGACAAAUUUUUAUUGGAUCAGUGACUUGAUUGCUUUUAUUUAGGUCCGAGCCUCCUUGUGUAGUAGAGCGUUACAGCUAUUUAGACACAGGUUUUUUUUUUUGAGUUGUAAUGCCUAAGAUGCAUACUGCCUGAAUCCUUUUAGGACAAUGGCUGCUGUUGGUAUUUCUAGUGCCUACUACAAAAUCAUACACACACAGUUGUGAGUUUUUUUUCAUGAUAUCAGCUGUUGUCUAUAUCUUUUUAGUGGCUGUUUUCAAAUGGAAAAUCAAGGUUGUUGUAUGCUCAUAAGCAGCCUGCAGGUACUAAUUAAUCCCCUUUUUUUUCCUCUGCCUGAGAAGUUAAGAUGAUUUUUUUUGAACUUUGAAUUGGGAGCUAUGUACGUCCCCACGGAUCCUUCUCGUCUUCCACGUGAUUCGAGUCGCCUCUCUCCGUCAGGUACGAACUCGAUCCGCCUCCCCGCAGGAUGAUUCUCUGUUGAUUUCUUUUCCUGUCGCGUCGAUCCGGGCGGAUCUGGGACGGAAUCAGCCGCACCUGAUGCUUGGUCGUUUCAUCGAUUUGAUCCUGUUCGCCCCCGCUCUGUUUGCUUGAUGAUCCAUUCGAUUGGGGAUAAGCAAAGGGGUUCGGGGAUUGAUGAUUUGUUGGGAAGUUAGCCUCUGCUGCUGCAUCUUAGUUGAUCUGAUCUGGAUUUGCAGUUUGAGGUAGGGGUCCAUAAUGUGCGGGCAUCUAGCGAGCUUGUAAGCUUAUGUAGAACUGCUUGGGUAGAUCCAACUAUUCUGUGGUAGUUGCUGGUAUGUAUGGUAAAUUAACCCGAUUAGCUUGCUGUGUAUGAAUAUUUAAGCCGCUUUCUUUCAAUCUGUUCGUUCUGAGCUUUGCAUCACUGGUGUGUGUUCCUUCCAGAUCCUGCACGGACCUCCUCCCUGUCAGGCCCCUCUUGCCGCCCGUCGACACGACCUUCGAUCUUGUUGUGUUGAUCAUGGGUAAGUGGCAAUGCAUUAUAAUGUUGUCAUUGGAUUUCUCUUUUGGGCUUUUAUUUAUCUUUUGAUGUACAAUGUCUACAACUACCCAAAAAAUUAAGCUAUGUGUGACGUGAUUCAGAACUAAGCAUGGUCUAAUGUUUUUAGGGCAAUGACAGGGACCAUUCCAUUUGAAGAGGCUCAUGCUGCCCGGAUUUCGUUAAGCAAGCCAUCUAUGUCCCAAAGUUGAGGACCGUUUGGAGAAGAGGCCACCCAGGUAACCUUAUCCAAGCUCAAACAUUAAUUUAAUCACUAUUUAGUUGUUGUACUUGCGUUCCUAGAUGGAUCUUUUGAGAUUCCACAACUUUGAUAUUCUUACUUGGGAUCAUUUGAUAUGUGCCGUUGAAAAUAACAGAACGGAUCGUUCCUAGAUGAAUUCUUAGCUGAUUUCACUGGGCUUUCUCCCUUUACGCCAAUAUGAAAUAUAUUAGCUGCAGUAUAUAGUCUAGGUUCAUUUUAAUGCGACUAAAUAAGAUAAAAAUACUACCUGCUUAUACCACUCGAGUAUCCACCGUUAGGACGUUAUGUUCCCUGCGACCACAACAUAACCUUUUUGACUUAUUAUCCCUAAAAAAAGCUGACUCUUUUUCACAAGCUGAAAAGACAAUCUGAUCUGCUACAUUUGGUCUGAAAUUUUCUUCUUGUGUGUCCACAUGAUAAAGAGGAUGCCUUUGAUCAAUUGUAAACCACUUAUUUUUCUAGGAUAUAUAGAUUUCUUGAAUUACCCACAAUAUACUUUUAUGUCAUCUAAUAUAUGUCUCCCAGACAAUUUAAACAGAUGCCAAGGAUAUGAUUAGGCGCACAUAUACAAGUAUCUUUAUGACGACACCUGCACCAGUUUUCAUCGUUGUUGUUCUUGCCUGUUGCCUCCCCCCNNNNNNNNNNNNNNNNNNNNNNNNNNNNNNNNNNNNNNNNNNNNNNNNNNNNNNNNNNNNNNNNNNNNNNNNNNNNNNNNNNNNNNNNNNNNNNNNNNNNNNNNNNNNNNNNNNNNNNNNNNNNNNNNNNNNNNNNNNNNNNNNNNNNNNNNNNNNNNNNNNNNNNNNNNNNNNNNNNNNNNNNNNNNNNNNNNNNNNNNNNNNNNNNNNNNNNNNNNNNNNNNNNNNNNNNNNNNNNNNNNNNNNNNNNNNNNNNNNNNNNNNNNNNNNNNNNNNNNNNNNNAGAGACCCCUCUCCUUUCCUUCCAGUUUGUUGGGUUUUGCUUUGUGCCAUCAUUUGAGUGGUCGAUAGGCGCAGAAAGAAAGGGAGGACAGAGUACUUCUCUCCUAAGUUAGUUUUAUAUUUAUUUGUCUGAAUUUUAGUUUAAAUAACACGACACCCAAUGGCAUACAUGACAAUUUCAACUGUUUUUGGGGGCAAAUGACAAUUAUAGUAAAUUAAAAUGACCCCAUUAGUCAUAUCUAUUAUCUCUUUAUGGGUUUAUAUUUCUACGUACUGCCACAAAAAUAUUAAUUGUUUUGCAUAUAUCGGUUGAGUUUAAUUCAGCUUUAGGAAUCAGGACACCCUCGCUCGGUUGGCUCCCACGAGCCGACGAGUGAUUCACAGCUGCGCCGCCGCCCACCUUUGCCCCUCGCCGCGCGCGACGGGGCUUCCGCCUUGUCCGGCAAGCGGCAUCUCAGGACUUGGCCACUAGGUGCGCCUGCGCUUCCUCCUCGCCUGACAGGUGGCGUUCAGGGAUGUGGCCACUGGGUAGGCUGUGAUGCUGGCGUGGUGGUUGCAUGGCAGCGGGGCUGGGCGUGGUCGUCUGAUUCUUGUGGUGGGAGGUUUCGAUGGCUCCUUAAAUCUAGCGUGACAGCGGCCAUGAGCAGUGCGAGCGGUGGGUCCUCUCAUCAUUCGCGUGGGGAUGGUUGCGGGAUCACAGUGGCUCUGUCGGCGGUUAGCGUUCGUCAUUCGGGUGGGGAUGGAGGUGGCGUCCUCCCUUCUCCUGGGUCUGAGCCGGCAGCGCACGGGCUGCACGCGCAGCAACGGUGGACAGCCACCUAGGCAUUUGAAACUGCAGAAAUGAGAUGAUAUUUUUCAGUGAUUUAUUACUCCUUCAUUUGCCCUGAAUUAUACCGUUGGUUUGUCACAAGUCUUCCCUUCCAUCCCUUCUUCCACAGAUUGCAGGUUUCAUCCUGAACAUCCUAAUGAGCAAAUCACAAGACGGCUGAAUGAUCUCAUCUAAUUAUAUUUUUCCAAAUCAUGGUUGAACGAAUUAUGUGUUGCCAGUCCCAUUUUUUCCCAUGAUUUGGGGUAUCGGUGUUAGUGUUCAGUGAUGAGCCACUGCAGUUGUAUUGCACCCAUUCCAUCUCCAGAUACGUGUACAUGAGCCAGCGAAGUGAGAUCAUGCUCUCCGUCCACUAAGAAGGGCAUGUAGCCUCAAACUCGGCUUACUCUUUGAUUGUUUUUUUUUCCUUAGGAUUGCUCCUCCUUUUACCUGCUGGAUUAGUAAGAAAUCCAGGUAUUUUAACAGGAUUUAAUUUUUCUUCUUUUAUUUAUUGGUUAAUUUUUAUUGGUAUAUUCAUAGCAGAAGUAGCCAAGAUGGCCAAUACAACGCCUUUCGGUGAAGUGCUACACCAAGAAGUUAACACUCACCUCCACCAAGACAACACCGGACACAACUCGCCUGCACGAACUCAAGCCAAACAAUGACGAAGAGAACGAACACAGAGCACACAAGCCGAGUCCCAACCGAACCGAGCAUCUCACGGCACGACAAAAACACCAAAGCAAACUGGAUCAAUGCACUCUCCACUCAUGGCGCCUAGGAGGUUGGCAGGCGGACAGCAGGAGCUAGCCUAGCUCGAUGAAGACGCCAUAGAUGAGGCGUCGAUGAUGAAGUACAUAGCACCCCGUAUGCUCAUGGCAGUAGCAACAACCAACCCAAGACAAACCCCAAGCCUCACCGUCACCUACACCAGUUACUCCUCCAGAAGACAUCCCUGAUCACCCAGGCAACACCUUCAAGAAGGGGACGACGCCGUGACGUCGCCACUGCCUAGCCCGACGAAAAUCAUCAAUGCAGUUUUCCAUAUCAUAGGACAUCUCUCUCAUGUGGUUCCUCCAAUUCUUGGCUGUGGGAUCGAGCUUAUCCAUGAGCUCCAUCUUGUCAAGCAGAGCUUUCAUGGCGUUGAGCUCAUCCCUGAGGAAGGAGGCCUGCUUCUUCACCGGCGUGAGCUGCUUGUACUCCUCGCCAAGCGGCUUGGUGAGUUCCCCGAGCAGAGGGCUCAACACUCCCGUUGUUUCACUCAUUGCCAUGUUGGUUUGUAGUUUGUACUGCUCCUUUGCCUCCGGCGCCUCUUUGGAACGAGAGAGAUGAAGUGGGUGGGCUAGCCGAGAAACUCGACACAGGAGGCUCACGCCAGCCGCUAUUGUCGUAGCCUCCCAGAAACUUCCCUCCAGAAUUCCUCGUCACCAAACCUGGAGAGCAAGGUGAGGUCGACGCGACCGUGACGUUCCUGGCUGCCGGCGCCGUCGUUGCGGGCAGGGGAGAGAUGGAGAAGAGGCUCGGAAGAGAGGGAAGGGAAGGCUCGUUGGUGCGGUGUACUGUUGGGUGGGGGUGGGUUUGGGCGGAGAGAAGCUCAGCAGAGACUGAACGGGAGAAUGGGAUUGAGACAGACGGGGAGAAGGACUUAGAUGAACAGCAAAAUCCAAAAAAAUAGUAAACUAACUCAAAAAAUUCUGAUUUUUCUGUCAACAAACAUUGACGAUUUUUCUACACACAUGCAAAUUUUCGAUUGGAAUCACAUUUGUGGAUGCGUCAGCAAAAGAAACAAAAUCAAUGCUUCCAAAAAACAUUUUUUUAGCAUCAAUUUUAAUUUUUUUACGGCACCUCCACAAAUUUGAUUUCAUCAUGAAAAUUUACACGCAUAUAGAAAAACGUCAAUAUUUAUUAACAAAAAAAUUCAGAUUUUUUUAAGUCGAAUUAUACUGUUCACCCAGGAGCAUGUGAGCUCGAGCUCACAUACUACAUGUUGGGUAUUUUUGCAAAUAUAAGGCGAUUCCAUUUCAACUCAUUGAGAGUAGAGAGCCGUGCGUGUAACAGUGAGUGUGAGAUUUUUCCUUAGAGCAACUCUAAUGCGCCGACGCAAACAGUCUGUGCGUGUUUGUUUAGGUCGAAUCGGACGCAAAAUGAGCGGGCGCAAAUGGACCAGCGUCUGCAUUUUGUCAACGCGUGACCCAUUUCAGGCCUAAAUUUGGGUCGGGUUUGCAUCGACGCGGACACACAGCAGACCCGUAUGAUGCCCGCCUCUUGUCCUCCCCUUGGCCUGCCAGUCGGUGGCACAUUGGCCAUUCCGCUUUCCUCUAUCGACAACCACCACACUCGGUCGGCCCCCUCGCCUCCGCUGCCAAAGCUGUCGGGGAGGGCAAUGUUGAGAUCAAUGACCAUACUAUAACAAAAGAUACUACCUAGCUGAUGAUAUCUAUCCUCAGUGGACUACUUUUGUGAAAAUAAUCCCCAACCCGAUAGGAGACACUAGUAGAAAACGGGGCAAAGGUCACAGGGCAGUUUUCACAUUAGCCCCGGUUCAGUCACGAACCGGGACUAAUGUGAGCAUUGGUCCCGGUUCGUGAGCCCAGGGGGCCGGCCGGGGCCUCGUGGGCAUUGGUCCCGGUUCGUAUGGACCCUUUGGUCCCGGUUGGUGGUACAAACCGGGACCAAUGGGCCACGCUCCUGGCCCACCACCCUUUAGUCCCGGUUCAUACCACAAACCGGGACUAAAGGGCUGGUCCUAGUUGCGGCCAGUGUUUAGUCCCACCUCGCCAACCGAAGGGGACUCACACCAGUUUAUAAGCCCGUCCCUCUCUGCCUUUUAAAGUGAAAAUAGAUGCCCUUAUACAGGGAAUUUGACCUAAAUUCAUAGUAAAUUUCAUAAAAAUUUAUUAUGAAUUUAGGUUGAAUUUUCUCUAUAAGCGCAUCUAUUUUCAUUUUUUUUAUUUACAAAAUAAAUAAACCUUAAUAAAAUAAAUAAAACUAAAUAAACCUUAAUAAAAUAAAAUAAAAUAAACUAUAGUAACUACAAUAAAUAAACCUUAAUAAAUUAAGUAAAAAUAGCAGCAGUAAAAUAAAUAAAAAUAGCAGCAGUAAAAUAAAUAAAAAUAAAAUGCGUCUGGAAGAGAUUGUCCGUUUUGUACACGAAGUGCAUCCAGUUUAUGCCGUAACCCUCUCAACUUUCUUGCACAUGCUAUGUGGAUGAAAUGAUGAUAUCAUGCCAACUUUCAACCUUUUCAGAGUUCAUUUGAAAUGCAUUUCAAUUUUAGGGUCUUAUAGCUCAAAAUAAUUAGUAAAUGCAUGAAAAAUAACAAAUGAAGUCAGAAAGGAUUGAAAAAUGAUGAUGUGGCUUUGAAUGGUGCAUUUUGAACACACAAAAAGUCAGGAGUUCAAAUAAGUUUUAAAAAAUGAAAUCCCUUUGUAACAGACGAGUUUCCGGAUGAAAUCCUGAUACUUUGAAAGAGAUUGUCCGUUUUGUACACGAAGUGCAUCCAGUUUAUGCCGUAACCCUGUCAACUUUCUUGCACAUGCUAUGUGGAUGAAAUGAUGAUAUCAUGCCAACUUUCAACCUUUUCAGAGUUCAUUUGAAAUGCUUUUCAAUUUUAGGGUCUUAUAGCUCAAAAUAAUUAGUAAAUGCAUGAAAAAUAACCAAAUGAAGUCAGAAAGGAUUGACAAAUGAUGAUGUGGCUUUGAAUGGUGCAUUUUGAACACAUAAAAAGUCAGGAGUUCACAUAAGUUUUAAAAAAUGAAAUCCCUUUGUAACAGACGAGUUUCCGGAUGAAAUCCUGAUACUUUGAAAGAGAUUGUCCGUUUUGUACACGAAGUGCAUCCAGUUUAUGCCGUAACCCUCUCAACUUUCUUGCACAUGCUAUGUGGAUGAAAUGAUGAUAUCAUGCCAACUUUCAACCUUUUCAGAGUUCAUUUGAAAUGCUUUUCAAUUUUAGGGUCUUAUAGCUCAAAAUAGUUAGUAAAUGCAUGAAAAAUAACAAAUGAAGUCAGAAAGGAUUGAAAAAUGAUGAUGUGGCUUUGAAUGGUGCAUUUUGAACACACACAAAGUCAGGAGUUCAAAUAAGUUUUAAAAAAUGAAAUCCCUUUGUAACAGACGAGUUUCCGGAUGAAAUCCUGAUACUUUGAAAGAGAUUGUCCGUUUUGUACACGAAGUGCAUCCAGUUUAUGCCGUAACCCUCUCAACUUUCUUGCACAUGCUAUGUGGAUGAAAUGAUGAUAUCAUGCCAAUUUUCAACCUUUUCAGAGUUCAUUUGAAAUGCUUUUCAAUUUUAGGGUCUUAUAGCUCAAAAUAAUUAGUAAAUGCAUGAAAAAUAACAAAUGAAGUCAGAAAGGAUUGACAAAGGAUAAUGUGGCUUUGAAUGGUGCAUUUUGAACACACAAAAAGUCAGGAGUUCAAAUAAGUUUUAAAAAAUGUAAUCCCUUUGUAACAGACGAGUUUCCGGAUAAAAUCCUGAUACUUUGAAAGAGAUUGUCCGUUUUGUAACAUGCCAUUGGUGGCACGAACCGGGACCAAUUCCACCCUUUGGUCCCUGUUGGUGCCACGAACCGGUACUAAUGAGGCUGUGGCCCCACGAGCACCUUUAGUACCUGUUCGUGGCAUGAACCAGUACUAGAGUUUCUUACUAGCUAAGCAGUUUUUUAGUCCCACCUCGCUAGCUGAGAGGCACUAGGAGCGGUUUAUAAGCCCUGAGUGUAGAGACAAUGAAGAAGAGGCGCAAUGCUCACGUUGCUUAGCUUCAAGCCUUGAGGAAUAAGGUAGACUGCAUCGAGCUAUGUGCAGUGCAGUCUACACUAUUCCGAAAGGCUUGAAGCAAAUCAACGCGCAUUGCGCCUCUUUUUUAUUUUUAAUCAUUAAAAGCAAAAAGAAUUUUCAUAAAGAACUUUUUUUGAUAGAAACUUUAAUAGCAGAAAGAAUUAUCAUAAAGUAAAAUAACUAAGUAAUUAGAAACAAAAUAAAAUAAAAUAAAUAAGUUUUUUGUUGUAAGUAGAAAUAAAACAAAAUAAAUAUAGCAAAAAAAAUAAAAAAACUAAAUACAGCAAAAAGAAUUUUCAUAAAGAACUAAUGGCACUAAUAGAAAGUUUAUAUGUUUUCUAAAACUAAUGGCACUAACAGACAGUUUAUAAUUUUGCUGACCUAAAAGCAAAAAGAAUUAAAAAAUAAAGCAAAAAACAAAAGAAAAUAAAUAAUGCAAAAAAUUUAAAAAAUGCCACCUAUUGGGCCACCACGGCGUGAAUACGACUAGAAACCCAACCUGGGCCAGGAUUCAGGCCCGCAGAAGGCCCAAUAGGCCAACAGACAGCACAGUGUGACAUUAGGCCCAUAAGCCUGCAUUUGAGAGGAGCUCGAGAGGGCAGCCGCAGUGGAGCUUAUAAACCACUCCGAGCCCCUCUCAACUAGCGAGGUGGGACUAAAACUUUUGGCCGCGGGCAGCGCAAGGCCUUUGGUCCCGGUUGGUGGCACCAACCGGGACCAAUGCCCCCCUUUAGUCCCGGUUGGUGCCACCAACCGGGACCAAAGGCCUCUGCUUCCCGCCCUUUGCGCUGGUGAAAAGAGGCCUUUAGUCCCGGUUGGUGGCANNNNNNNNNNNNNNNNNNNNNNNNNNNNNNNNNNNNNNNNNNNNNNNNNNNNNNNNNNNNNNNNNNNNNNNNNNNNNNNNNNNNNNNNNNNNNNNNNNNNNNNNNNNNNNNNNNNNNNNNNNNNNNNNNNNNNNNNNNNNNNNNNNNNNNNNNNNNNNNNNNNNNNNNNNNNNNNNNNNNNNNNNNNNNNNNNNNNNNNNNNNNNNNNNNNNNNNNNNNNNNNNNNNNNNNNNNNNNNNNNNNNNNNNNNNNNNNNNNNNNNNNNNNNNNNNNNNNNNNNNNNNNNNNNNNNNNNNNNNNNNNNNNNNNNNNNNNNNNNNNNNNNNNNNNNNNNNNNNNNNNNNNNNNNNNNNNNNNNNNNNNNNNNNNNNNNNNNNNNNNNNNNNNNNNNNNNNNNNNNNNNNNNNNNNNNNNNNNNNNNNNNNNNNNNNNNNNNNNNNNNNNNNNNNNNNNNNNNNNNNNNNNNNNNNNNNNNNNNNNNNNNNNNNNNNNNNNNNNNNNNNNNNNNNNNNNNNNNNNNNNNNNAUAUGCAAAUGUUUGUAUGUUCAUAUGCAAAGAAUGUAUCAAUUUUUUCAUAGAAUUUUUAUGAUUUUUUCUGUUGUAAUUUUGUUCAUAGAAUUAUUAUGAUUUUUUUUGUUCAUAGAAAUUGUGUAUGAUCAAAGUCAUUUAUGUAUGUUCAUAUUUAGAAGAAAAAGAAGGAGAGAAAAAAAGAAAAUAAGAAGGAGAAGAAGAAGAGAAGAAGAGAAGAAGAGGAGAGGAAGUAGAGGAGAAAUAAAUAAGAAGAUGAAAAAGAAGAAAAAAAAAGAGUAGAAGAAGAAGAAAUAGAGGAGAAGAAGAAGAAAUAGAAUAAUAUAUUAUUCUAUUUUUUCUUCUUCUUCUCUAUUCCUUCUUCUUCUCCUCUUUUUUUCUUUUUUUUCUUCGAUCUCCUCCUCUAUUCCUUUCUUCUUCUCCUCUUUUUUUGCGUCUUCUUCCUCUUCUUAUUUUUUAUCGGGUAUGUCGUUGUCGAUAUAUGUACCCCCCUCCCCGAUAACUUUUAGUAAGUACUACCUAGAAAGUGUUUAAUAGAAUUAGUUAGAAAAAUAAUAGAACUAGUUAAACUAGCUAGUUUAUUUUUAGUAAGUACUACUUUAUUCUAUUUAUAGUAAGGAAAUUAAUAGAACUAGUUUGUUUUUUUAGUUAAAGCAAUUAUUCCCGCAUCGACGUCGACGAUGCCUAUCCCGCAUCCUCGUCGUCGACUCGGCGGAGGAGGCCGGCUUGAUCAGAGGGGCCAUGUCCGGGACUGGGCUCCGCCGGGCUGGUUUUGGGAGGUGCUACCUUCCGGUGGGCGUAGGUUGGUGAGGAACCAGCCCGUCGUUGAUCCGAUCCUUGUUUGGUGGCGCUCGCGUGGGCCAGUGACGGUGCCGAGGCUUCCGGACACCGCGGAGGAGGUACGUCACCGUGUCAGCGAGGAGGACCAGCACGUCCGUCGCUACAUGGUUGCGUUGGAGGGCAGGUUCGACAGUACCUGGCAGGUUCUUCAGGGAUCUCACUGGAGCUAUGAUCCUGUGAUGGUUCCGUCCCUUUGGGUGUCCACCGCCCGCGCCGAUGUCCGUCGGGCGCUACUGUUCUAGCUGUACUAGCGAUGCUAUAUGUAUGAUAGUAUUCGAGGUGUAUUAGUGAUAAUAUUCGGCGAUGUACGGACGCAUGGAGAUGAUGUAGUUUUGCUUAUAAUUGAAUGCAUCCUAAUUUGAAUACUACUUUAUUUUGUGAUUUGAUUUUGCUUAUUGAAUGCUCAAAGUGGAAAACUACUCCGAUCCUACUUUGAAUGCUAAAAUUGGAGAGCACUAUGAUUAGUUGAUAGCUUAUAGGGUUUUGUUUUCGCAGAAAUCUAGGAGCCCCCCGGCCCCUCCAUCAUCCCCGCCGUGGUCCCCGUCACCGCCCCCUCCGACAUCGAGGUGAGACCAGCCAAAUCCUCUUUUAGAAAGAUAAUUAAACGAUAUUUCGGGUUGACUGUAAGUCUGUCGAGUCUCCACCAUAUAUGAGAGGACGAAGAAUCCCGACUGUGUUGUCGUGGGGGUAGCUUCUCCUUCGUUCCCGUGUGCUAGACAAUUUGGUGUAAUGCACUCGAGAACGAAAGGAGGAGCUACCAUCACCGACGGUCGCAAAUGUCAGAGAGGAAUCAGUGAGGGAGAGUUCCACCAUAUAUAUAUGAGAGCACGAAGAAUCCCGACUGUUGUCGUGGGGGUCGCUUCUCCUUUGUUCCCGUGUGCUAGCUAGACAUUUUGGUGUAAUGCACACGGGGACAAAGGGAGGAGCGACCAUCACCAACGGUCGAAUGUAUACACCACGUGAGCUGAGAGUUUUCAAGAAAAGACUCGACAAACCGAUAGUCAACCCGUGAUGAAUAAUAAUGAUCUAACUUAGGUUUUUUAGUACAUAUAUUUAAUUGUAGAUGUUUAAUAUUUGAAUUAUAUAUGAACAUAGGAAAUGUCGUACUCGGACGACGAAAGUCUCUCGGGGGAGUGCGACUGGUGCCACGACGACCGAGGUCAGUGCGACAGGCCUCACCUGGACGAAGAUCGGCGCUUCAGUAUUAAGCUGGAGGAGACGUUCGAUGUUGAAACGGUACGCAACGACGACAAGUGUUAUUUUUUCGUAAUUAAGCACGACUUCAACUAUUUCAACGUGUACUUUUCAUCUUUUACAAUUCAGCUAGCUUAUCCCAUGCCAUGCAAGACGCUACGUCUUGGAGAGGAUGGGUUUUGAAGACCAUGAAAGUAUGGAAACAAAGAAAAUUCACCUAAGGACCCAUCAUGAUAUAGAUUUUGAAGUAAAGCUGUAUAAUUCUGAGAGCGUAACCCAUUUUGGUUGCAAAAAUUGGGAAGCAUUUUGCAAGAUGUAUGGUUUUGAUGAGGGUAUGCUUGUCACCAUGGAUCUUGGUGAUCCUGACAUCGAGCAAGACAAUAUGGACAUUUGGGUCCUUGUUGAUACGCCUCCAAUUCUACCGCUAUGUGAGUUUCUCAAACAUAGUUAUUAGCUAAUUUAUAUUGUUCAUUUCAAAAUAGUUGACAGCUUAUUUUCAUUGACAACUUAUUUUGAUUGUUCAAACAAUAUGCGGAACAUGAUAGACAGAACCUACUACACCGAUGGCUCUGAGUUAACUUAUAAGGAGAAAACUCAUCUGGUCGGAUUUUGUACUGAUAUUGAGAAUUACAAUAUCUACAAUCAAACUCCUCAUCAUUAUGGUCCUCCAUACGUGCCACUAGUGCACGUGGUGAACUACGGUAGCUACUAUGGAGAUACCCUGGUAAGAUUUCUUACUAUUACGACAUCCGUGCAUAUUUUGCAUAGUUCUAAAGCUAGUGCAUUAUCAUUGCUAACUAUGAAGUUAUUACUAUGUUUUUCAACAGAUAAUCCCAGAGGAUUGUGUGCCUCAUUUGAUGUAUCAGAAUGGUAGGCUUGAUGUUUUGAAUAUACAACCAGGUCAUCCUACGAAUCUCAACUGUCCAUACCGGAUUUCUAAAAGAAGUGGAGACAUGCAAAUCAAAGAAUGGAAAAAAUGUAUGGACAGUCGCAAGGAGCUUCUUGGAAGCAAAAGGAAGCGAGGCGCAAGAAUUGGAGACAGGAUGAUCUCCAUUCUCCAUAAUGGAGAGUCAGUGUCUAUAUUGUUUUAUGCUAUUUUACCUUAAAGAGGGUAUUUCGGUCCUACCUAAUACUGAUGAUCAUGUGCUAAGAACAAUUAAGUAGGGUUGGUUCGAUGACUGUGAGGAUGAUGAUCGAUCGUAUGACUUGUUAUUAAUAACGAGUAGAAGUUGUAUGAUGAUGAUUAGUAGGACUUGUUAUUAUAUAUGAUGAUGCAUGAUGCGUGCAUGAAGAGUUAUUAUAUAUCAGCGGGUGAAAUGAACAUGGAUUGGAUUGAAGUGAAGGCAACAUGCAUGUGGUGCGUGUCGAAAGUAGUACAAUCCAAACUUGAUCAAGUCCGGAUAAGUAUUAGUUUCGACAUGCACCACAUGUUGCCUUCACUUCAAUCUAAGCCAUGUUUAGGCAUAGCAGUACGUAGCGUUGGUAAACCAAGCACGGAGAUAUAAGAGAGGACACUUCUCUCUAAUAGCUACCUAAUAACAACCUAAAUUAACCCCCCAAAACCCCCAAACCCCCCCCNNNNNNNNNNNNNNNNNNNNNNNNNNNNNNNNNNNNNNNNNNNNNNNNNNNNNNNNNNNNNNNNNNNNNNNNNNNNNNNNNNNNNNNNNNNNNNNNNNNNNNNNNNNNNNNNNNNNNNNNNNNNNNNNNNNNNNNNNNNNNNNNNNNNNNNNNNNNNNNNNNNNNNNNNNNNNNNNNNNNNNNNNNNNNNNNNNNNNNNNNNNNNNNNNNNNNNNNNNNNNNNNNNNNNNNNNNNNNNNNNNNNNNNNNNNNNNNNNNNNNNNNNNNNNNNNNNNNNACCAACCGGGACCAAAGGCCCUCCUGCCUGGGCUCCCCGCACCGGCCACGUGGACGGCCUUUAGUCCCGGUUCGUGUAAGAACCGGGACUAAAGGGCUAGGGCAUUAGUAACGACCCUUUAGUCCCGGUUCCUGAACCGGGACUAAAGGCCCUUAUGAACCGGGGUAAAAGCCCCUUUUCCUACUAGUGAGAGAAGAGGAGAAGAUUUACCCAAGCACAAGAGAGUGCUCGAAAGGAUGUGGAGCAUGCUUUCGGUGUUCUUCAAUAUUGAUGGGGCAUUAUUCGGUAUCCUGCUAGAAUUUGGAGCACCAAGAAGUUAUGGGAGAUGAUGAUUGCUUGUGUGAUCAUUCACAACAUGAUCGUAGAGCAUGAGCAUGAGAACGAAAUCUACUCCUCUUUCGAGCACUCUCCCCGACAUGAUAGGAGAGAAGAAUGGGAUUGAGACAGACGGGGAGAAGGACUUAGAUGAACAGCAAAAUCCAAAAAAAUAGUAAACUAACUCAAAAAAUUCUGAUUUUUUUGUCAACAAACAUUGACGAUUUUUCUACACACAUGCAAAUUUUCGCAAUGGAAUCACAUUUGUGGAUGCUUCAGCAAAAGAAACAAAAUCAAUGCUCCAAAAUGCUUUAAAAACAUUUUUUGGAGCAUCGAUUUUGUUUUUUUAUGGCACCUCCACAAAUUUGAUUUUUAAAACUCACAUUCAACUGCAAGAUUGAAAAACAAAAUUGAAAAAUAAAUAUGUGAACUCAUCCUCCAGAAGCUCCAGUGCAUAGCGGACGGCUAAAGUGUGCGGAGAAUGUCAAGAGAGGGCGGGGUAGACCGAAUUUGACAUGGGAGGAGUCCGCUAAGAGAGACCUGAAGGAUUGGAGUAUCACCAAAGAGCUAGCUAUGGACAGGGGUGCGUAGAAGCUUGCUAUCCAUGUGCCAAAGCCAUGAGUUGGUUGUGAGAUCUUAUAGAUUUCACCUCUAGCCGACCCCAACUUGUUUGGGACUAAAUGCUUUGUUGUUGUUGUUGUUGUUGUUGUGAGUGAGCAUAGCCGAGCAACAAGCAGGCGAGCACAAAAGCAUGCAGCCGAGCGACGAGCGGCCGAGCACAGUCGAGCAGCCUAAUGGUCCGGCCCAAGUGUCGCGCCAGUUUCUCGACCAGCGCUAAGGGUGUGUUUGGUAGCAUGUAUGGACCUAGCCUAGUUGUUCUUCUUUCAUCCAUGCUGAGUGUAGACAUGCUGAGUCCAUGCAGUUGCUCUUGUUUGGCAGUGAUGUAUGAACUGAGACAUGCUGAGCUGAUACUUUGUUUGGCAGCCUGCAUUUGUUUAUACAUGCUGAACAAUUUUUUUUGAAAAUUUAAAAUUCUAAACAUAUUUUUAAAAAUUGAACAUAUUUGAAAUUAUGAUUUUUUUAGAAAAAAUAAUCAAAUUUUGAAUAUUUUAUAAAAAUUAAAACAAAAUUUGAAUUUUUGAAUAUUUUUUGAAAAAAUACAAAAAAUGUUUUUUUAAUUCUGGACAUUUUUUGAAAAUUUAAACAAAUUGAAUUGCUGAACUUUUUUUUUUGAAAAUUUACACAAUUUUGAAAUUCUAAACAUUAAAAAAAAUGAAAUUCUGGAUUUUCUUAAAAAUUUGAACAAAAUUUGAAAUUCUGAACAUUUUUUAAAAAUUUAAACAUAUCUAGACGUGGUCUGGUGGGUGGAGACGAGGGUCAGGGCCAGCAUGGCUGCCUCCAUGCACCUUGUCUGGGGUACCCUGUGCAUGAGAUGGGCAUGGCUGAGGACCCUUUUAUGCAUCAGAUGGGCAUAGCUCAGGUGAGUCCAUACACCCUACCAAACAAGCAAAAGUGGGUCGGAUUGAAAACUUUUGCCCUCAUGCACCCUACCAAACACACCCUAAGGAGUUGUUUGGAUAUCGAGAAUUAGAUGCUAGAUUUUGGAAAACCAAUUUUAAGAUAAUUUUAGGGAAACCAGUUUUAAUUAGUCAUUCUUUUAAGAUAAGUAUAUACAAUUCCUUGAACAACAAAGAAGAGUAAAAUGGCCCUCCGGCGUGCGGCUGUUGAAGCCGUCAUCAUGGGCACCGAGGAGGUCCCGUUGCUUGCGCCUGGAGCAACACGUUGCCGUCGACGUUUUCGUAAUCCUCGCCAUGGGCGCUGAGGAGGCCGAUCUGCUCGAGUCGAGAACAACGCGUCGCCGUCGAUGGUGUCGCAACCAUCGCCAUGGAUAUUGAGGAGGUCGCGCCGAGAACAACAUGCCGCGUCCAUGGUGUUGCAGCCGUCACCAUGGGUGCCUACUGACGAGGUGGUCGUGCUGCUCGCGUUGAGAACAACACGCCGCCGUCGAUGGUGUCAGGUAGAUGGUGUCGCAGAGGUUGCUAUGGACGUCUGGAACAACAUGCCGAUGUAAGGUUCUAGAAUACUUUUUUUUAGGACGGGCUCUAGGAUACAUGACCAAAAUUCAAGAAAAUCACAUUCAUUUUGACCAAAACGCAUGAAAAUUUCUCCCUCGGCCGCACUGUUUCAACCCCUAAGGCCCUAAAACAUGAAGCUUUUUUUUUGGUUUUGAGCGAUAACACAUGAAGCUGCAAGGCCGAAAGUUGACGACAAAAGAUUCCAAUAAUAUGACAACAACGCAGCCCAGUGCCCACCCGCACGACAGCAAACCAAAAAUUGCAGCCCAUUCGCAUCGGCCACAUUUUCCCCUUUAUCCUGACAGACGACACAAAAAUAUCUCCGUCGCUGCCGCCGCCGCCGGCAUGCUCCGCCUGCGAGAAUCCAUUGUUUCCCAUCUCCUCUCUUCACCCUCCGCCCCUGCCAUAUCCCCACUCCGUCGCCUCCUCUCCGCUGCCGCGGCCGCCAUUUCUCCGAACCCCAGUGGAUUCGCCGUCGAGGACUACCUCGUCGAUAUCUGCGGCCUCACCCGACCUCAAGCCCUCAAGGCCUCCCCGAAGCUCUCCCACCUCAACUCCCCCGCCAACCCCAACGCCGUCCUCGCCUUCCUCUCCGGCCUAUCAUGUGUUCAGAUUUUAAGGGUCAUCUGGGAAGUGGGAUUUGCCGGCACUCCACCUUCAGAUACGUGGACAUGGGCCAAUGCAGCCUGCCAAGAUGGUGCUCAGUGAGAUCAAACUUCUUCCACCAAGAAGAGCAUGCGGCCUCAGAGCAUAAUUGGUUACUACUUGGUAGGUUACCGAGUUGUCUUGCCUAUCUCACAUAUAGUUGCCAAUAGUUGGCAAGUAUUGGCAAUGCCAACUUUUGGCUAGCCAAAUAUUCUCUGCUCACACUUUUUUGUUGUUGAGAAUUACUCCUCAAUUUAUCUGGUAGAUUUCCUUUUGUUAGUAGGAAAUCGAUCUAUUUUAAUGUGAUUUAGAUAUGCUUCUUCCAGUCAUUGGUUGAUUUCGUUACUGAAAUCUGCACUUCUCUUUGUGUCAUUGCUUCAUUCCGUCCAAUAGUUUGUAAACAACUGGAACAAUAUCAUGGAAAAGAUUAGUGUCCUGGUUAUAUUGUGCAUCUCUUUUAUGUGGUCCUGUUUUUUGCUUGCCGUCUUGUUUACUGAUUCUUUGUUAGUGCUCCUUUGCAUUGCAAUCUGGUGCUUCGGUUGUCAGAUGCCGCUGUUUGUGAUCUUGUAACAGAUUUCCGCGGUGUUGCUUAAUUUGCCCCUGGUGUUUUCUGUUGUUUCCAUACAGGUUAAAUAGGGAGUACGUACUUGUACAAAUGAAUUUACUGUUUUAAUCCGUUAAAAAAAACUGUUUUAAUUGCUGCCACAGUAAAGUUGCUGUGUAGGUAAUGGUCACAGCAGAUUUGAAGAGCAUAGGUUUUCUAUUUGCAUGAUCUUACUUGUAUAUAGUAGACCUGGAGAUAGACAGCCUUGGGCACGAAACUGGAGAGUGCCUUAAUACACACAAGCUAGUGAAUUCCACGGUCUUAAUUUUCAUCCGAAUUUUAAUCAGUGGUGUUGAUAUUUGAAGCUAGGCUCGGGCUUACUCAAAUGGUAGUGAGGUUCGGUGAUCCUUUACAUACAUUGCAUAAAUGCAGAAUGGUAGAUACACUGUUAUGGAUUUUUAGGAUUUCAACUGCUGUUUAUAUCCCUGAGUGGCUAAUUUCAAAUUCAAAUCGAGAUCCAGAUAGUUACCUGCUCAUAAGCUGCAGGUACUAAUUGCCAUCUUCAUACUGGGUCUGUUGAGUUGUGAGCUACUCCCUCCGUCCCAUAAUGUAAGACGUUUUUUGACGCUACACUAUGUGCCAGUUAUCUCUGAUUUUUUUCUGUAAUCAUCCAAUAUUUUUGCUCCGCCACCUUGCUUUACAUUUCCACUGCAGCAGUGACCAUCAGACCUCGCGGGCAGGAAAUUUCCAUGUGUUUUUGGCAUUGUGAAUGGUUUUGUUCUGAUAUGAAACGUGUAACCGUAGUCCUGAAAGUUUCUGAAAUUGUUGCUACUUUAACACUGUCUGUUUCUUGCGUUGCUAUUCUGAACUUUAUUAUUUCUUUGUAAAUGUGAUGCUCUUUCUGAACAUUUCCAAAGCAUUAGUCCGUGUUAAUUUGCUAAGGAGGUGUAGUAUAUUCAGGGGCGCAGCAAAGUUCCAAACUUAAAUGCAACAACACCCAGCAUCGAAACAUUCAGUGCCUCAACAAAUUCAGCUUAAUUAGUGUCGCACAUACAUUUACAAACUCUUACGCAGACUGAGAUAUGUAGUAUCCAUUGAAAAACAAAACUCCAGAAACUAAAUAAACAGAGGAAAUAAUAUAGUGAUAAUAAAUACACAAGGGAAAUGAUACUGAUGAAAACAUAAAUUAAGACAGAAAUCAAUCAAGUUAGAGACUGCAUUCUAACAGAAGGUUGUCUUGGGUGCACCAGGGCUGCGCUCUUGAAGGCAGACUCCACAUCAACAAGCACAUGUUGAAUUUUUUUGCUGGAGUCCAUGACGCUGUUGAUGAGACACAUAGGGAUGUCCUGGAGGCAGGGCAAACAUUCCAUGUCGGCGAAUUCCACGGUGAGCGUCCGUGCCUUGGGCAUAGCUCCUGUCUCGAAGCUCAGGCAUGCUGUGACAUCUUCAUCAAAUCGGAACUCAAAGUACUCCAAAACUAGGAACAAUCCCGUGCCGACCACCACUUUUUCUUGGGAGACAUCCAACACGUGGAUCCUGGCAUUGACCAUGAAGGGAAGCUCUCCAAGAAAAUGAACCUCAUCACUCGAAAGGUGCAAGACACACAGAUCGAGGACUCUGAGACAACACUUAGCUCAUGAAUCCAUUUGGGAACUCUAUCGAACUUCCAUUUUGCUAGAUUGAGUACCUCGAGAUGCGGCGGCGGAUCGGGCAAUGACUCCAGCUGCCUAGCAUUGUCAUAACAUUCACGAUGGCAAUCGAGGCAGAGGUGUUUGAUGUCUUGGAGCGUUCCAAUGGAGGAGACAAAAGCAUCGACUUGUUCAACCAUCCAAUGGUAAACGUCAACACCUUCAGAUUGGUCAACUCACUGAAAUCUUCGGCAUGUCCCAACAAUGCAGGGUGCAGAGUGAUUUCAUCUUCUGGACCCCUUUAGGCAGCGUUGUACCAAUUGGAAGUUCUAGAUGAAAUAGGUUGGCCAAGCGAGUUAUAUCUGAAGGAAAACUUUGUGCAGAUCGACAAACCAACUCCAGAGUUUCCAAAUGCACAAGUCCUUGGAUUUCAGCAGGGAGCGCUACAUGUGUUAAUCUGGCUAAAAUCUUCAAAAAUACCUUAGAAGAAACAAAUGGCCAAUUGCAGUGAGGUCAACUGUCGUAUACCACUGAUCUAGAAAUUCAAACAAAAGCACUAGUAGGUACUUGAACUGUGAAAGAUGAGGUAUGUACAUGGACUCCCUGAACCAUGCACAUGACCGAACUUGUGAAAUGCUAGUAGCAAGGGUCUUUGAUGUUGCACCACAUUCGAUGCCGACUGGUGUGGCGCCUCUCCACUCCGCGCAACCGAAUUCGACGGUGAGCGUCUCUACCUUGGGCAUAGCUCCUGCCUCGAAGCUCAGGCAUGAUGUGACAUCUUCAUCAAAUCGGAACUCAAAGUACUCCAAAACUGGGAACAACCCCGUGUCGACCAUCACUUUUUCUUGGGAGACAUCCAACAUGUGGAUCCUGGCAUCGGCCAUGACGGGAAGCUCUCGAAGAAAACCCAUAUUGACCCCUAUACACACACGGAUAAUUAUUCAAGAGAGCCUCCAGUUGUCGUGUGCUAUUCCUGUUGCUUCACGAUAUAUUACAAACAACCGAGGUGAGAUGUAUCGGCAUCCCCGUGGAUCAACAACUUGUCCACUAUGCCAGUUACCUCGUUACCAGUUUUGUUCUCUUUUCUCAUUUCCGUGUUCUGGCAUCCCUGUGAUCAAAUCACAUUAUGUCCGGCCAGGCAAUGAUGGAUACUAUAACACCGAGAGGGCCCUAAGAAUAUCUCUCCAUCAUCGGAGAAGCAAAUCCCAAUCUUGAGCUAUCUUGUUCCUUGUCAUACCUUUUCGUGAACCCGUAAGCCGUCGUAAUAGCCACCCAGUUACGGAUGACGUUUAACAAACCCCAAUGUUCACGAAGCAAGAACGAAGGAAUUCGACACUCUCAUGGUCUAAGGAAUUAUGCAAACAUUAAUUUUUUCUGUGUUAUUAACCAUUUAUUUGUGACCAAUGUAUCUCAUAGCAUAACAUCAAUUCGGGUCGAUUCAACACACGUGUUCUCCUAACAUUGUGCCCUCAAAAUUGCCGGCAUAGUCAUGCCCAUGAUCAGGAAAACAUGAUCAUCAUGCAAUACUUGAGCUAGUCUUAGAGGCAUGACUAGGAAUACAUUUUACCGUUUUAUUAUACCACACGUGCAUAUGAGUUUCCCUCCAAGCCUCGUUGAUAUUGCAAACUCGAGAAUCAUUGUAGUUAUAGCAUGGAACAUAAACAUCCAUUACAAACUUGAAGAUACAAAAUAAGUGUUGUUACUACCUCAAGGGCAUAUCUUCUACAGACUCCCACUUGCACUAGAGUCAUAAUCCAGUUACAUGGCUUCCCGAAUACCAAUGACUAUCUGGUGCUGCUCAUGCUUUGCUCGUGGUAGAGGCUUUGUCAUCGGGUCUGAUACAUUCAGAUCCGUGUGAACUUUGCGUACUUUCACUAAACCUGUUUUCGACAUGAUGUCGAAUGAGUUUAUAUUUGCGUUUAAUAUGUCUUGUCUUAUGGUGCGAAGAUGGCUCCCCUAGCCCGAGCCACGGUGACACUAUUAUCACAAUAGAUCUCCACCGGGUCCAGCGCACUUGGAACCACACCAAGGUAUUCAAGAAACUGCUUGAUCCAAACCGCCUCAUUGGAGGCUUCUGAAGCUACAACAUAUUCUGCUUCCGUCGUAGAAUCCGUCACAGUCUUUUGUUUGGAACUUUUCCAAUCAACUACACCACUCAAUAUGAAAACAUAGCCUAAUUGAGAUUUGAAGUCAUAUGGGUCAGUCAUGAAGCCUGCAUCAGUGUAACCACUUACAACGAGCUCUUCAUCACCUCGGUACACAAGGAGUAAAUCAUUGGUCCUUCUGAGGUACUUCAGAAUAUUUUUGACUGCGGCCCAGUGUUCCAAUCCUGGAUCACUUUGGUACCGGCUGCUAAGACUUAGCGCAGGAAACAUCUGGUCUUGUACAUAGCAUGGCAUACAUAAUGGAACCAACUACCGAAUCAUAUGGAACAUCAUUCAUUUGUACUCGCUCAUCGAGAGUCUGAGGACACUGAUUUUUGCAAAGCACUGUGCUAGGUGACAUGGGGGGUAGGCCUUUCCGUACCUCUUAUGUUUAAGGUCCCUAAGGUGGUCAAUCAGUGGCGGAUCUUAGUAGAAGUCUGAGGGGGCCGUGCCACCCCCGCCCCCAGCCUUAGGCAAAAAAUUGAAGAAAAUUUACUAUGCAGGGCUUAGAUAAGGAAAAAGUCAAUUAUUUACCCUGCUAAUUGUUCAUAUUUUGGCUUUGGCACCCUAAGAUUGCUAUCUAGCUCUGCCACUGAGGUCAAUAAUGUCUUGUAGCUCGUGAGCAUGAGAAGAAUCCGCCAUCUGAAGAUUUAAUUCCAGGCCACAGAGAAGGUUCUGCAAAUCUGGUCUUUGGGUGACUGAAAUAAAUGUCUCACAGUAAAACUAUUCUCUAAUCUUAUCAUACACUUGUUUGGCAAGCGUAGUUUUACCCAAGCCUCCAGAACCCAAGAUGGAAACCAGUUAGUUUCUUCUGUGAAUCUGUCAACCAACUGACAAGCUCUUCUCUCGGGCCAUCAAUACCGACGAGACCUACCUGCUUGAAGAUCGUUGACACCUGAGGAUCCGCGACCACAUUGCCAUGACUCGAAUUGAUGCAAUUAUCAAUCUUGUAACGCUCGCGCUGAGCAUUUGCCUCCACCACAAGAACCUUGAGCUCCUCGAUCCGAUUGACAAUCUGAUGACGCCUCCCCAACCUCUUGAGACGUUGAGACAUCUUCGUGACAAAACCUUUCUUUACAUGGGCACCCUCAUUGUGAUGAGGGAAGUCAUUGAUGCAAUUCUCCAUAUCAUAAGACAUCUCCCUGACAUGGUCCCUCCAGUUCUUGGCCGAGGGACCGAGCUCAUCCAUUAGCUCCAUUUUGUCAAGGAGAGCUUUCAUGGUGCAGAGCUCAUCCUUGAAGAAGGUGUUGGGGAACGUAGUAAUUUCCAAAAAUUUCCUACGCACACACAGGAUCAUGGUGAUGCAUAGCAACGAGAGGGGAGAGUGUUGUCCACGUACCCUCGUAGACCGAAAGCGGAAGCGUUAGCACAACGCGGUUGAUGUAGUCGUACGUCUUCACGAUCCGACCGAUCAAUUACCGAACGCACGGCACCUCCGAGUUCAGCACACGUUCAGCUCGAUGACGUCCCUCGAACUCCGAUCCAGCCGAGCUUUGAGGGAGAGUUUCGUCAGCAUGACGGCGUGGUGACGAUGUUGAUGUUCUACCGACGCAGGGCUUCGCCUAAGCACCGCUACGAUAUUAUCGAGGUGGAUUCUGGUGGAGGGGGGCACCGCACACGGCUAAGAGAUCAAUGAUCAAUUGUUGUCCCUCCAAGGGGUGCCCCCCUCCCCGUAUAUAAAGGAGUGGAGGAGGGGGAGGGCCGGCCCUCUCUAUGGCGCGCCCUAGGAGGAGUCCUACUCCCACCGGGAGUAGGAUUCCCCCCCUUCCAAGUAGUAGGAGUAGGAGUCAAGGAAAGGGGAGAGAGAAGAGAAGGAAGGAGGGGGCGCAGCCCCUCCCCCUAGUCCAAUUCGAACUAGGCCUUGGGGGCGCGCAGCCUCUACUCUCUCUUUCCCCUAAAGCCCAAUAAGGCCCAUAUACUCCCCGGCGAAUUCCCGUAACUCUCCGGUACUCCGAAAAAUACCCGAAUCACUCGGAACCUUUCCUAUGUCUGAAUAUAGUCGUCCAAUAUAUCAAUCCUUACGUCUCGACCAUUUCGAGACUCCUCGUCAUGUCCCCGAUCUCACCCGGGACUCCGAACUACCUUCGGUAUAUCAAAACACAUAAACUCAUAAUAUAACCGUCAUCGAACUUUAAUCGUGCGGACCCUACGGGUUCGAGAACAAUGUAGACAUGACCGAGACACGUCUCCGGUCAAUAACCAAUAGCGGAACCUGGAUGCUCAUAUUGGCUCCCACAUAUUCUACGAAGAUCUUUAUCGGUCAAACCGCAUAACAACAUACGUUGUUCCCUUUGUCAUCGGUAUGUUACUUGCCCGAGAUUCGAUCGUCGGUAUCUCAAUACCUAGUUCAAUCUCGUUACCGGCAAGUGUCUUUACUCGUUUCGUAAUACAUCAUCCCGCAACUAACUCAUUAGUUACAAUGCUUGCAAGGCUUAUAGUGAUGUGCAUUACCGAGUGGCCCAGAGAUACCUCUCCGACAAUCGGAGUGACAAAUCCUAAUCUCGAAAUACGCCAGCCCAACAAGUACCUUCGGAGACACCUAUAGAGCAACUUUAUAAUCACCCAGUUACGUUGUGAUGUUUGGUAGCACACAAAGUGUUCCUUCGGUAAACGAGAGUUGCAUAAUCUCAUAGUCAUAGGAACAUGUAUAAGUCAUGAAGAAAGCAAUAGCAACAUACUAAACGAUCGAGUGCUAAGCUAACGGAAUGGGUCAAGUCAAUCACAUCAUUCUCCUAAUGAUGUGAUCCCAUUAAUCAAAUGACAACUCAUGUCUAUGGUUAGAAACUUUAUCAUCUUUGAUUAAUGAGCUAGUCAAGUAGAGGCAUACUAGUGACACUAUAUUUGUCUAUGUAUUCACACAUGUAUUAUGUUUUCGGUUAAUACAAUUCUAGCAUGAAUAAUAAACAUUUAUCAUGAAAUAAGGAAAUAAAUAAUAACUUUAUUAUUGCCUCUAGGGCAUAUUUCCUUCAGUCUCCCACUUGCACUAGAGUCAAUAAUCUAUUUCACAUCGCCAUGUGAUUUAACACCAAUAGUUCACAUCACCAUGUGAUUAACACCCAUAGUUCACAUCGUCAUGUGACCAACACCCAAAGGGUUUAUUAGAGUCAAUAAUCUAGUUCACAUUGCUAUGUGAUUAACACCCAAAGAGUACUAAGGUGUGAUCAUGUUUUGCUUGUGAGAGAAGUUUAGUCAACGGGUCUGCCAUAUUCAGAUCCGUAUGUAUUUUGCAAAUUUCUAUGUCAACAAUGCUCUGCACGGAGCUACUCUAGCUAAUUGCUCCCACUUUCAAUAUGCAUCCAGAUUGAGAUUUAGAGUCAUCUGGAUCAGUGUCAAAACUUGCAUCGACGUAACCCUUUACGACGAACCUUUUUUCACCUCCAUAAUCGAGAAACAUAUCCUUAUUCCACUAAGGAUAAUUUUGACCGUUGUCCAGUGAUCUACUCCUAGAUCACUAUUGUACUCUCUUGCCAAAAUCAGUGUAGGGUAUACAAUAGAUCUGGUUCACAGCAUGGCAUACUUUAUAGUACCUAUGGCUGAGGCAUAGGGAAUGACUUUCAUUCUCUUUCUAUCUUCUGCCGUGGUCGGGCUUUGAGUCUUACUCAAUUUCACACCUUGUAACACAGGCAAGAACUCUUUCUUUAACUGUUCCAUUUUGAACUACUUCAAAAUCUUGUCAAGGUAUGUACUCAUUGAAAAAACUUAUCAAGCGUCUUGAUCUAUCUCUAUAGAUCUUGAUGCUCAAUAUGUAAGCAGCUUCACCGAGGCCUUUCUUUGAAAAACUCCUUUCAAACACUCAUUUAUGCUUUGCAGAAUAAUUCAACAUUAUUUCCGAUCAACAAUAUGUCAUUCACAUAUACUUACCAGAAAUGUUGUAGUGCUCCCACUCACUUUCUUGUAAAUACAGGCUUCACCACAAGUCUGUAUAAAACUAUAUGCUUUAAUCAACUCAUCAAAGCGUAUAUUCCAACUCUGAGAUGCUUGCACCAGUCCAAAGAUGGAUCGCUGGAGCUUGCACAUUUUGUUAGCACCUUUAGGAUUGACAAAACCUUCUAGUUGCAUCAUAUACAACUCUUCUUUAAUAAAUCCAUUAAGGAAUGCAGUUUUGUUUAUCCAUUUGUCAGAUUUCAUAAAAUGCGGCAAUUGCUAACAUGAUUCGGACAGACUUAAGCAUAAAUACAAGUGAGAAACUCUCAUCGUAGUCAAUACCUUGAACUUGUCGAAAACCUUUUGCGACAAUUCUAGCUUUGUAGAUAGUAACACUACUAUCAGCGUCCGUCUUCCCCUUGAAGAUCCAUUUAAUCUCAAUGGCUCGCCUAUCAUUGGGCAAGUCAAUCAAAGUCCAUACUUUGUUCUCAUACAUGGAUCCCAUCUCAGAUUUCAUGGCCUCAAGCCAUUUUGCGGAAUCUGGGCUCAUCAUCGCUUCCUCAUAGUUCGUAGGUUCGUCAUGGUCAAGUAACAUGACCUCGAGAACAGGAUUACCGUACCACUCUGGUGCGGAUCUUACUCUAGUUGACCUACGAGGUUCGGUAGUAACUUGAUUUGAAGUUUCAUGAUCAUCAUCAUUAGCUUCCUCACUAAUUGGUGUAGGUGUCACAGGAACCAGUUUCUGUGAUGAACUACUUUCCAAUAAGGGAGCAGGUACAGUUACCUCAUCAAGUUCUACUUUCCUCCCACUCACUUCUUUCGAGAGAAACUCCUUCUCUAGAAAGGAUCCAUUCUCAGCAACGAAUAUCUUGCCUUCGGAUCUGUGAUAGAAGGUGUACCCAAUUGUCUCCUUUGGGUAUCAUAUGAAGACACAAUUCUCCGAUUUGGGUUUGAGCUUAUCAGGAUGAAAACUUUUUCACAUAAGCAUCGGAACCCCAAACUUUAAGAAACGACAGCUUAGGUUUCUUGCUAAACCAUAGUUCAUACGGUGUCGUCUCAAUGGAUUUAGAUGGUGCCCCUUUUUUAUGUGAAUGCAGCUGUCUCUAAUGCAUAACCCCAAAACUAUAGUGGUAAAUCGGUAAGAAACAUCAUAGAUUGCACUAUAUCCAAUAAAGUACGGUUAUGACGUUCGGACACACCAUUAUGCUGCGGUGUUCCAGGUGGCAAGAAUUUGUGAAACUAUUCCACAUUGUUUUAAUUGAAGACCAAACUCGUAACUCAAAUAUUUGUCUCCACGAUCAGAUCGUAGAAACCUUAUUUACUUGUCACGAUGAUUUUCCACUUCACUCUAAAGUUCUUUGAACUUUUCAAAUGUUUCGGACUUAUGUUUCAUCAAGUAGAUAUACCCAUAUCUGCUCAAAUCAUCUGUGAAGGUCAGAAAAUAACUAUACCCGCCGCGAGCCUCAACACUCAUCGGACCACAUACAUCAGUAUGUAUGAUUUCCAACAAAUCUGUUGCUUGCUCCAUUGUUCCGGAGAACGGCGUUUUAGUCAUCUUGCCCAAGAGGCAUGGUUCGCAAGCAUCAAGUGAUUCCAAAAGCCCAUCAGCAUGGAGUUUCUUCAUGCGUUUUACACCAAUAUGACCUAAAUGGCAGUGCCACAAAUAAGUUGCACUAUCAUUAUUAACUUUGCAUCUUUUUGGCUUCAAUAUUAUGAAUAUGUGUAUCACUACGAUCGAGAUCCAACAAACCAUUUUCGUUGGUGUGUAUGACCAUAGAAGGUUCUAUUCAUGUAAACAGAACAACAAUUGUUCUCUAACUUAAAUGAAUAACCGUAUUGCAAUAAACAUGAUCAAAUCAUAUUUAUGCUCAACGCAAACAUCAAAUAACACUUAUUUAGGUUCAACACUAAUCCCUAAAGUAUAGGGAGUGUGCGAUGAUGAUCAUAUCAAUCUUGGAACCACUUCCAACACACAUCGUCACUUCACCCUUAACUAGUCUCUGUUCAUUCUGUUACUCCUGUUUCGAGUUACUAAUUUUUAGCAACCGAACAAGUAUCAAAUACCCAGGGGCUACUAUAAACACUAGUAAGGUACACAUCAAUAACAUGUAUAUCAAAUAUAUCUUGUUCACUUUGCCAUCCUUCUUAUCCGCCAAAUACUUGGGGUGGUUCCGCUUCUAGUGACUAGUCCCUUUGCAGUAGAAGCACUUAGUUUCAGGCUUAGGUCCAGACUUGGGCUUCUUUACUUAAGCAGCAACUUGCUUGCCGUUCUUCUUGAAGUUCUCAUUCUUCCCUUUGUCCUUUCUCUUGAAACUAGUGGUCUUGUCAACCAUCAACACUUGAUGUUUUUCUUAAUUUCUACCUUCGCCGAUUUUAGCAUCGCGAAGAGCUUGGGAAUUGUUUUCGUCAUCCCUUGCAUAUUAUAGUUCUUCACGAAGUUCUACUAACUUGGUGAUGGUGACUAGAGAAUUCUGUCAAUCACUAUUUUAUCUGGAAGAUUAACUCCCACUUGAUUCAAGCGAUUGUAGUACCCAGACAAUCUGAGCACAUGCUCACUGCUUGAGCUAUUCUCCUCCAUAUUUUAGCUAUAGAACUUGUUGGAGACUUCAUAUCUCUCAACUCGGGUAUUUGCUUGAAAUAUUAACUUCAACUCCUGGAACAUCUCAUAUGGUCCAUGACGUUCAAAACGUCUUUGAAGUCCCGAUUCUAAGCCGUUAAGCAUGGUGCACUAAACUAUCAAGUAGUCAUCAUAUUUAGCUAGCCAAACGUUCAUAACGUCUGCAUCUGCUCCUGCAAUAGGUCUGUCACCUAGCGGUGCAUCAAGGACAUAAUUCUUCUGUGCAGCAAUGAGGAUAAUCCUCAGAUCACGGAUCCAAUCCGCAUCAUUGCUACUAACAUCUUUCAACUCAGUUUUCUCUAGGAACAUAUCAAAAUAAAACAGGGGAGCUAAACGCGAGCUAUUGAUCUACAACAUAGAUAUGCUAAUACUACCAAGAAUAAGUUCAUGAUAAAUUUAAGUUCAAUCAAUCAUAUUACUUAAGAACUCCCACUUAGAUAGACAUCCCUCUAAUCCUCUAAGUGAUCACGUGAUCCAAAUCAACUAAACCAUGUCCAAUCAUCACGUGAGAUGGAGUAGUUUCAAUGGUGAACAUCACUAUGUUGAUCAUAUCUACUAUAUGAUUCACGCUCGACCUUUCGGUCUCAGUGUUCCGAGGCCAUAUCUGUUAUAUGCUAGGCUCGUCAAGUUUAACCUGAGUAUUCCGCGUGUGCAACUGUUUUGCACCCGUUGUAUUUGAACGUAGAGCCUAUCACACCCGAUCAUCACGUGGUGUCUCAGCACGAAGAACUUUCGCAACGGUGCAUACUCAGGGAGAACACUUAUACCUUGAUAAUUUAGUGAGAGAUCAUCUUAUAAUGCUACCGUCAAUCAAAGCAAGAUAAGAUGCAUAAAAUAUAAACAUCACAUGCAAUCAAUAUAAGUGAUAUGAUAUGGCCAUCAUCUUCUUGUGCUUGUGAUCUCCAUCUCCGAAGCACCGUCAUGAUCACCAUCGUCACCGGCGCGACACCUUGAUCUCCAUCGUAGCAUCGUUUUCGUCUCGCCAACUUAUGCUUCUACGACUAUCGCUACCGCUUAGUGAUAAAGUAAAGCAUUACAGGGCGUUUGCAUUGCAUACAAUAAAGCGACAACCAUAUGGCUCCUGCCAAUUGCCGAUAACUCGGUUACAAAACAUGAUCAUAUCAUACAAUAAAAUGUAGCAUCAUGCCUUGACCAUAUCACAUCACAACAUGCCCUGCAAAAACAAGUUAGACGUCCUUUACUUUGUUGUUGCAAGUUUUACGUGGCUGCUACAGGCUGAGCAAGAACCGUUCUUACCUACGCAUCAAAACCACAACGAUAGUUUGUCAAGUUGGUGCUGUUUUAACCUUCGCAAGGACCGGGCGUAGCCACACUCGGUUCAACUAAAGUUGGAGAAACUGACAUCCGCUAGUCACCUGUGUGCAUAGCACGGCGGUAAACCAGUCUCGCGUAAGCGUACGCGUAAUGUCGGUCCGGGCCGCUUCAUCCAACAAUACCGCCGAACCAAAAUAUGACAUGCUGGUAAGCAGUAUGACUUGUAUCGCCCACAACUCACUUGUGUUCUACUCGUGCAUAUGUCAUCUACGCAUAAAGCCUGGCUCUGAUGCCACUAUUGGGGAACGUAUUAAUUUCAAAAAAUUUCCUACGCACACACAGGAUCAUGGUGAUGCAUAGCAACGAGAGGGGAGAAUGUUGUGCAUGUACCCUUGUAGACCAAAAGCGGAAGCGUUAGCACAACGCGGUUGAUGUAGUCGUACGUCUUCACGAUCCGACCGAUCAAUUACCGAACGCACGGCACCUCCGAGUUCAGCACACGUUCAGCUCGAUGACGUCCCUCGAACUCCGAUCCAGCCGAGCUUUGAGGGAGAGUUUCGUCAGCACGACGGCGUGGUGAUGAUGAUGAUGUUCUACCGACGCAGGGCUUCGCCUAAGCACCGCUACGAUAUUAUCGAGGUGGAUUCUGGUGGAGGGGGGCACCGCGCACGGCUAAGAGAUCAAUGAUCAAUUGUUGUCCCUCCAAGGGGUGCCCCCCUCCCCGUAUAUAAAGGAGUGGAGGAGGGGGAGGGCCGGCCCUCUCUAUGGCGCGCCCUAGGAGGAGUCCUACUCCCACCGGGAGUAGGAUUCCCCCCUUCCAAGUAGUAGGAGUAGGAGUCAAGGAAAGAGGAGAGAGAAGAGAAGGAAGGAGGGGGCGCAGCCCCUCCCCCUAGUCCAAUUCGGACUAGGCCUUGGGGGGCGCGCAGCCUCUCCUCUCUCUUUCCCCUAAAGCCCAAUAAGGCCCAUAUACUCCCCGGCGAAUUCCCGUAACUCUCCGGUACUCCGAAAAAUACCCGAAUCACUCGGAACCUUUCCUAUGUCUGAAUAUAGUCGUCCAAUAUAUCAAUCUUUACGUCUCGACCAUUUCGAGACUCCUCGUCAUGUCCCCGAUCUCACCCGGGACUCCGAACUACCUUCGGUAUAUCAAAACACAUAAACUCAUAAUAUAACCGUCAUCGAACUUUAAGCGUGCGGACCCUACGGGUUCGAGAACAAUGUAGACAUGACCGAGACACGUCUCCGGUCAAUAACCAAUAGCGGAACCUGGAUGCUCAUAUUGGCUCCCACAUAUUCUAUGAAGAUCUUUAUCGAUCAAACCGCAUAACAACAUACGUUGUUCCCUUUGUCAUCGGUAUGUUACUUGCCCGAGAUUCGAUCGUUGGUAUCUCAAUACCUAGUUCAAUCUCGUUACCGGCAAGUCUCUUUACUCGUUUUGUAAUACACCAUCCCGCAACUAACUCAUUAGUUACAAUGCUUGCAAGGCUUAUAGUGAUGUGCAUUACCGAGUGGGCCCAGAGAUACCUCUCCGACAAUCGGAGUGACAAAUCCUAAUCUCGAAAUACGCCAACCCAACAAGUACCUUCGGAGACACCUGUAGAGCACCUUUAUAAUCACCCAGUUACGUUUUGACGUUUGGUAGCACACAAAGUGUUCCUCCGGUAAACGGGAGUUGCAUAAUCUCAUAGUCAUAGGAAUAUGUAUAAGUCAUGAAGAAAGCAAUAGCAACAUACUAAACGAUCGAGUGCUAAGCUAACGGAAUGGGUCAAGUCAAUCACAUCAUUCUCCUAAUGAUGUGAUCCCAUUAAUCAAAUGACAACUCAUGUCUAUGGUUAGAAACUUUAUCAUCUUUGAUUAAUGAGCUAGUCAAGUAGAGGCAUACUAGUGACACUAUAUUUGUCUAUGUAUUCACACAUGUAUUAUGUUUCCGGUUAAUACAAUUCUAGCAUGAAUAAUAAACAUUUAUCAUGAAAUAACGAAAUAAAUAAUAACUUUAUUAUUGCCUCUAGGGCAUAUUUCCUUCAGAAGGAGACCUGUUUCCUCACUCCCGUGAGCUUCUUGUACUCCUCGCCAAGCAGCGUUGUGAGCUAGCUAAGGAGAGGGUUCAUCAUUCUGGUCCUCGCACUUGCUGCCAUCCCGAUUGAGGAGGCUGGUGAGCUAGCUAUUUCUGUGUCGCAAGGCAAGUAAGCUGGGCUGGCAAAGAAAAGCUUAGUGUGGGAUGGUAUUAUCUAUACUCGGAGCUACCCCUACUAUAGGCUUAAAAAUUGUUUAACUGAUAUCAGUACUUCUAUAGAUUCAUGCCAAGAUUUGAAUACUCUAACCAUGCAUUGGAAAGCAUAUCUAAGCCAUUGGGUUCAAGUGUAUAACUUUUUCUUUUUCUUUUGAGUGGACCUCGUACGUUCUCGUGGCCAAAUGUAUAACAUGAUGCCAUAGCAGCAUAUGACACAAAGCGAGACCCUUUGCAUAGGAAUCUUAGCUAUUUUACAAAACAAAAUCAAGAACAACAACAACAAUAUGGAUGCGCUGAUUGCGGUGCCUGGCGCGAGUGCCUUUGUCAUGAAGGUACUCGAGGCCUGAUGAUUUUCAUCAUGAUGGAAGAUGCUGAACCUUCUCGACCAAACGUUGAAGGCUUUCCAAUAUGGUUGGAAUGAUUUUUUUGAGGGGGUGGGGGUGGGGGGUCCUUACAAAAACACCCUUACAGAAAUCGAGAAAUUCAUCUUACAUCCACCGACGCCGCCUCUGGCCUGAAGCAAACUUGUUGAAACCCGAGAGCUUCUAGAAACAGUGGCCAGAGCAAACCAAAAGAUGCUGGCGACCGUGUUUUCCGGAGAAAAAAUGUCGUGGAUUUAUUUCAGGCUCUCCGGCGUUAUUUUCAUUUUUUCAGUGGUUUGGCGUGCCUGCCAACUAUGAGAUGCGUAUAACGACUUUAUCAAUAUCAUGAUCUGCCAACUCAAUCUUUCUGAAGUACUCAUAGAGAUAGGGUUGUGUGCGCAUGUUCAUAAGGAUGAGUGUGUGUGCGUGUUGUGACCAGGCCGGUAUUGUGUUGUAAAGAUAAGAAUUCUUUAAGUACAAAGAAGGAGAAAAUCACUCCGUGAGAGAAGGGAGAGAAACUCCUUUCUUUUAACCUAUGAGAGGAAAAACUUAUUUAUAUUUUUUGAGGGGUAUAAAGCCAACUUUAAUUGAUCAAACGCCGCAGAACGUGGAAUACUUCUAUGAUCAUGGGGUUGACCUUGCUACACGUGGCGCCCCCAACCUAACGAAUGCGAAAGUUUGGCUAGACUAUGUGAUUUAUUGUUCAAAUCACAACCUUCGAAUAUAAUUUACAAUUAAAAAUUGAUGCUUGCAGUUGUAUCUCGCUCAUAAUGGGACCGUAACGUCCUUGAAUUUCCCUUGCUGAUAUGUCCCACUAUUUGCUUUGAAUCAGAAGCAACAAUAGUCGUUGAAGAAGAAGAAAAUAUUCCGCUAUGAAUAAGGCCUCCCUACAAUUGACCGCCUCGAGUGUUGUCAAACUGUUCUCUAAUCUUAUCAUACACUUGUUUGGCAAGUGUAGUUUUAUCCAACCCUCCUGAACCCAAGAUGAAAACCACUUAGUUUCUUCUGUGAAUCUGUCAACCAACUGACAAGCUCUUCUCUCGGGCCAUCAAUACUGAUGAGACCUACCUGCUUGAAGAUCGCUGACACCCGGGGAUCUGCAACCACAUUGCCAUGACUCGAAUUGAUGCAAUUAUCAAUUGUACCGCUCACGCCGAGCAUUUGCCUCCACCACAAGAACCUUGAGCUCCUUGUACCGGUUGGCAAUCUGAUGACGCCUCCCCAACCUCUUGAGACGUUGAGACAUCUUCCUGACAAAAAUUUUCUUUACAUGGGCACCCUCAAUGCGAUGAAUGAAGUCAUUGAUGCAAUUCUCCACAUCAUAGGACAUCUCCCUGACAUGGUCCCUCCAGUCCUUGGCCGAGGGAUUGAGCUCAUCCAUUAGCUCCAUCAUGUCAAGGAGAGCUUUCAUGGCGCUGAGCGCAUCCUUGAGGAAGGAGACUUGCUUCCUCACUCCCGUGAGCUUCUUGUACUCCUCGCCAAGCAGCGUUGUGAGCUUGCUGAGGAGAGGGUUCAUCACUCUGGUCGUCACACUCGCUUCCAACCCGAUUGAGGAGGCUGGUGAGCUAGCUAUUUCUGUAUCACAAGGCAAGUAAGCUAGGCUGGUAAAGAAAAGCUUAGUGUGCGAUGGUACUAUCUAUACUGGGAGCUUCCCCUACUAUAGACUUUCAAAAAUUGUUUAACUGAUACCAGUACUUCUAUAGAUCCAUGCCAAGAUUUGAAUACUCUAACCAUGCAUUGGGAAGCAUAUCUAAGCUAUUGGGUUCAAGCGUAUAACUUCUUCUUUUGAUUUUGUGUGGACCUUGUACGUUCUCGUGGCCAAAUGUACAACAUGAUGCCAUAUCAGCACAUGGCACAAAGCAAGACCCUUUGCAUAGGAAUCUUAGCUAUUUUACGAAGCACCUGUCCGUAUUUUGUUGUAAAGAUAAGAAUUCUUGAAGUACAAAGAAGGAGAAAAUCACUCCGUGAGAGAAGGGAGAGAAACUCCGUUUUUUAACCUGUGAGAGGAGAAACUUACUAAUAUUUUUUGAGGGGUAUAAAGCCAAGUUUAAUUGAUCAAACGCCGCAGAGCGUGGAAUACUUCUCUGAUCAUGGGGUUGAUCUUGCUACACAUGGCGCCCCCAACCCAACGAAUGCGAAAGUUUGGCUAGACUAUGUGCUUUAUUGUUCAAAUCACGACCUUCGAAUAUAAUUUACAAUUAAAAAUUGAUGCUCGCAGUGGUAUCUCACUCAAAAUGGGACCGUAACGUCCUUAAUUUCACUUGCUGAUAUCUCUCCCACCACUUGCUUUGAAUCACAAGCAACAAUGAGUCGUGGAAGAAGAAGAAAAUAUUCCGCUAUGAAUAAGGCCUCCCUACAAUUGACCGCCUUGAGUUUUUUUUGAGACAAACUGCAAAGCUUUAUUACGUCGUCACAAUGUUUACAGGGACGAAAACAAGAUCGUUGGGCUGGUCUAACCAAACAUGGCGGCCAACCCCGAGGGAUAAAGCGUGCUUUGCUAGUUUGUGAGCCUCGAUAUUCGAGCUCCUAAAUUCAUGAAGUAUAUUACAAGCCUCAAAUUCAGACCUAUGUUGUAUGAUUUCAUGUGCAAUUGCCCCGUAGCUUCCUUUGUUGUGCUGUUGAAUGUCGUCGACUGCCACUUUACAAUCCGAAGCAACAUGUACCCUCCUGACAUAUAUGUCAUCUGCCAAUGCCAAAGCCUCCCUGAUUGCGAGCAUCUCCAAGGUUCCGGGGUCUGAGAGAUGGGAGAAAACCACCGCCGAAGCUCCCAAGAAGGCUCCGUCUUGGCCUCUACAGAUUGCUCCCGCUGCACCCCGCGCCCGGCCUACUGCAGCAUCUACAUUGAUUUUGACCAACCCCAAUGGCGGUGCAAUCCAGUUAUUAAUUCGAGGCUGUGGCACCCUAACCCCAGCGACAUUCGGCUUCUGGAUAGCCUUGAGAUCUGCUAUGUAAGAAUUUAUAAACCCAUUGAUGGCAUAAGGUGUCUGAAAGAUAUCCUCGUGUAUUGCCUUCCUUCGGGCGCCCUAUAGUGCCCAUAGGGUGACGACGAAGACUAGGAAAUCAUCUUGGUUGAGCGCUUCGUGCAUGACGAACAACCAUCUUUUUGCGUUUUCCUCAAUGCAUGUGCUCAUCUUGUCAAGGAUCGCCUCUGAAGACAGCGCCCAGGUGCUCCUGGAGACCGAGCAAUCCACAAGGGCAUGGCGCCAGGUGUCAACAGCCCCACACAGACAGCAAGCUCGUGAGGAUGACAUAUUUCGAUGGUUGAGUAGCGCUGCUGUGGGGACAGAAUGCUUGGCGAGUCUCCAUAAGAAGAAUUUCAGCUUUGAGGGAACCUUGAUCCGCCACAGUUCGGUCCAACCCUGGUUAGCACCAAUGGAGCCGGAAGAGGAUCCAUCUUCAUACAACCAUGCCUCGCGACUUAGCUUCGUUCGCUGGAUCAUCCGGUAUGCCGAUCGUACGGUAAACAUGCCCUUCCUCUCCUCGGAACAAGCCCAAAAAUCGUCAGUCUGGCGUGUACAAAGGGGUAUUUGCAAUAUUGCUGCUGCUUCGAUUGGUAUAAACACCGUCCGGACUAGAUCCUCCUUCCAGGAUGAUGAAGUAUGGUCUAUCAACUCAGCCACUGUAGUUGGUGGAUUCUGCACUAGAGAGGUGACCGGCUUCUUCAUGUUUGGCCUCGGCAACCAAUUAUCCUCCCAUAUAUUUGUCGAUUCACCGUCUCCGAUUCUACGCACCAGCCCCUGAACCAUGAUAUCCCGACCGUCCAAAAUAGCCCGCCAAAUCUGCGAGGGAUGAGACCCUAGUGUUGCGCCAAAUAUGUCCGAGUUAGGGUAAUAUACUGCUUUCAGGAUCCUCGCACUCAGAGACAGUGGGUUUUGCAACAUGCGCCAGGACUGCCGUGCUAGGAGGGCCAAGUUAAACAUCUCCAUAUCCCGAAAGCCAAGACCUCCAAGAUGCUUUGGCAGGGUCACCACGUCCCACGCCACCCAACUCGGUUUUCGUUUCCCAUGCUUGCUUCCCCACCAGAAUUGUCUGAUCAGCGAAGUAAUGCUUUCACAUAGACCCCGUGGCAGCCGGAAACAUGCCAUCGAAUAUACUGGAAUUGCUUGAGCCACCGCUUUAAUCAGUACCUCUUUCCCUGCUGAAGAUAAUAGCUUUUCCAUCCAUCCCUUAACCUUUUCCCAGACUCGGUCCCUCAAAUAUUUGAAGGUCCCGUUCUUCGAGUGACCGACCUCCGUUGGCAUUCCCAGAUACCUGUCACUGAGGGACUCGUUGUGCACAUUCAGAACAUUUUUCAUAUCAUCUCUUACCACUUGUGGGCAUCCUCUGCUGAAGAAAAUCGAAGACUUAUCAUGAUUUAUCCUCUGACCCGAAGCCAAGCAGUACGUUUCAAGUAGGUUUGAUACCGCUACUGCCCCCUCAUUCCCUGACUUAAAAAGCAGCAGGUUGUCAUCUGCGAAAAGAAGAUGGUUAACGGUCGGGGCCGUGGGUGCCACCUUUAGUCCAACAAUAUUUGAUGACGGAGAACUGGUUUUCAGGAGGCACGAAAGGCCCUCCGCUACAAUUAAGAAGAGAUAGGGGGAUAUCGGAUCUCCCUGCCUUAUACCUCUCCUCGGCAUAAACUGAUCAAGCCUUUCACCAAUUAAAAGCACUGAGAANNNNNNNNNNNNNNNNNNNNNNNNNNNNNNNNNNNNNNNNNNNNNNNNNNNNNNNNNNNNNNNNNNNNNNNNNNNNNNNNNNNNNNNNNNNNNNNNNNNNNNNNNNNNNNNNNNNNNNNNNNNNNNNNNNNNNNNNNNNNNNNNNNNNNNNNNNNNNNNNNNNNNNNNNNNNNNCAAAACCGAGUUUUCCCAUGAUUGCUUCCAAAUAGUCCCAUUCCAGCCUGUCAUAUGCUUUCAUCAUAUCAAGCUUAAGUGCACAAUAACUGUUAGCCGUAGCUUUGCUCCGCUUCAUAAAAUGAAGACAUUCAUAUGCACUGAUAAUGUUAUCCGUUAUGAGUCUGCCCGGUACGAAGGCCGAUUGCUCCUCAGAUAUGAUAUCCGGUAGAAUUUGCUUGAGCCUGUUUGCAAUGACUUUGGAGGCAAUUUUGUAUAGUACAUUACACAGGCUAAUAGGCCUAAAUUGGGACAAAACAGUGGGGUUUGUUACCUUGGGAAUCAGAACAAGGAUGGUGUCAUAUGCACUCCGAGCUCUCCUCCCCCCUCACAAUUCUCAACACUGCCUCAGUCACCUCUGUACCACAAAGCUCCCAGUGUCGCUGAUAAAAAUGUGCCGGAAAACCAUCCGGUCCGGGCGCCUUGGUCGGGAACAUCUGAAACAAGGCUGCCUUGACCUCCUCGUUUGCGUAUGGUGCACACAACAACUCAUUCGUCUCCGAUGUUACUUUCAUUGGGCCGCUGUCUAGGACAGUCUCCAUGUUGCUUACACCAUGAAUCACCAAGGCCGAGCUCCCAAUUCGAAGAGGUAAACCCUAUGGGGUGAAAAAAUGGGUCCAAUUAGAGCCCAGUGCUGAACCGAACGACAAGAACCGAAAAUGGCAGCCCAUUCUCACCGGCCCCUAUUUCUUUCCUUCCCCACACACCACACAAAAAUACCUCCGCCGCCGCCGCCGUCACUGCCGCCAGCGGCCGCAGCCGCGAUGCUCCGCCUCCGAGAGCGCAUCGUUUCCCAUCUCCUCUCUUUCUCCUCCACCUCUGGCCCGGCCAUCUCCCCUCUCCACCGGCUCCUCUCCGCAUCGGCAGCCGCCGGCCCCAUUUCCCCGAACCCCAGUGGAUUCGCCGUCGAGGACUACCUCGUCGACACCUGCGGCCUCACCCGCCCCCAAGCCAUCAAGGCCUCCAUGAAGCUCUCCCACCUCAAGACCCCCGCCAAACCCAACGCCGUCCUCGCCUUCCUCUCCGGCCUCGGCCUCUCCGGCGCCGACGUCGCCCCGGUUGUCGCCAAGGACCCGCAGCUCCUAUGCGCCAAAGUGGACAAAACCCUGGCUCCGGUGGUCGAUGGGCUCACCGGCCUCGGCCUGUCGCGUUCCGACAUCGCCCGCCUCGUCUUCCUCACCCCCGGCGGCUUCCGCCGUAGAGCCAUAGUCUCCAGGCUGCAGUACUACCUGCCCCUCUUCGGCUCAUUCGACAACUUACUCCGGCUGCUCAAGUGCGACUCCAACCUUCUCUCAAUCGACCUUGACAAGGUGGUCAAACCCAAUGUCGCGUUCCUGAGGGAGUGCGGGCUAGGUGAUUGUGAUAUUGCCAAGCUGUGUAUCCGUGUGCCGAGGUUGCUCACCACCAACCCGGAGCGCGUCGGGGCGAUGGUCGCAUGUGCUGAAACAUUAGGUGUGCCCCGUGGCUCUGGGAUGCUCAGGAAAGCGCUGCAGGCUGUCGCGUUUCUCAGCGAGGAGAAGAUUGCCGCCAAAGUGGACUACUUGAAGAAUACGUUCAGGUGGUCUGAUGCCGAAGCUUGCGUUGCUGUGCGCAAGUAUCCGAGUGUGUUGAGGAAGUCAAAGGAAUCUCUGAAGCGCAGGUCUGAGUUCCUGGUCUCUGAGGUGGGACUGGAACCCGUGUCCAUUGCUCAUCAACCGGUAGUUCUCAGUCUUAGCUUGGAGGGCCGGCUCAGACCCCGGUACUAUGUUAUAAAGUUUCUCAAGGAAAAUGGACUGCUACAUCGUGACCCGAGCUUCUUUACUGCGGUCAAGAUCACUGAGAAGGUAUUUGUGGAGAAACUCAUAUCCCCUCACAAGGAAGCUGCACCACACCUCGCUGAAGACUAUGCAACAGCUUGCAAAGGGGAAGCGCCAACUAAUUUCAUAUUUAGAUGGACCAGGAACAGGCUAUGAAAAUCCGUAACCUGUGUAUGGCGCAAGAAAGUUUUCACUCUGUGUAGUAAGUUGGUAACUCCUGCCUUGGUGUUUAGGCCUAACUGGAUGUUCACUAUCUUUUCUAGUGUGUUUGCUACUUGCCAGUUUGCUCAUUGCUAACUCUUGAUGUAACUAGUGAUAAAUUGAUUUCUGAACCCUGAUAGGCUGUUGUUGUCAUUCCUUAGAGAAGAUCCUUCAAAAUAUCAGUCUGGUCUGCUUUUAUGGCAAUUUUUAUCUAGCAUGUUCCCUUUUGAUUUCAUUGUAUUUUCAGUUGCAUCAUAUUUUAGUUAGUACUAAGUUUGCGGUUCAAUGUUCAGUAUUUGGAUUAUUCUUACAAAUAUUAUGACAGUUAGUACUAAAGUUUGUAGUUCAAUGUUAAGUAUUUACAUUAUGCUUAGAUAUAUAUUUCUAAUUGAUGUCGGUUCUUUUUUAAUCUUUUGUUUUCUUCCUCCUUAUUCAUUCCUAAAUACCAUAGUUGACCUUUCUUUAGUUUGGAAAUUUUCAAAUUUCUACAUAUGAAUCAGUCUUAACAUUUGCAUCCCUCAUUAAUCAUCAGAGUAAACCAAUUGAGGUGCCAUGUAUAACAAGCAAGUCCAAUGAAGUUUGAACUAACACUUGUUCUUGUGGACAUAUGAAGAAGAAAGGCUAUGAGAUUUUCCCACUACAACCUACUGCUUGCACUGAGGGCAAACGUUUUUUCUUCAUAUCUGUCUACAAUUCAGUGAAAUCGUAGAUUUAAGAAUAUAGUUUGCAACAAAAUUCAUCCCAGUUUUCUGCCUUGAAACGACACCGAGACCUUCAAUCUGUUGUCCAUCUUAACAUAAAAAGUUGCGAAUUGUUUUGUUUAGCAAGGACUAAGAUUUCAGAGUUGCUCGACUAGUACUUGUCUUGCAACCAAAUUAGUGUCGCUACAUGUCCACGAGUCAGUGCCCUGGGCACUUGUAAUCCUUCGUGUUUAGUGAUGUAUGUAUCUGUUCUGAUUGUGUUUAAUAGCAGGGAUAACUAACCGUGGUACUGUUACCAUGGCACUAUAUACAAAUAUUUUUCCUGUUGAAACACAUGAAAGAUCUCAACCAUAUCGAUCUGAAAAAGAAGAUAAAUGAGAAAUAGUAUAUAUUCAGUAAAUACAAAAUAUCAAUUCAUGAAGUACUAAAGAUUAUACCUGCCCCUGGGUGAUGAAGUGCACAUCAGCCAUCGGUUGUAGUGCGCCUCUGUUCUGUUGCUUCUGCAGAGUGUCAGCAGAUCUGGGCUGCUGUUGCUAUUUUGUUCUGCUCAGUGACUUGGAAUGAGUUUAGUUAACCUGCUUUUCCUGAACUUCAUGACCAAAACAGAGAAGAACUUAAGGGACGCAAGAGGGGGAAAAACGAAACACUUAGGCAAGCUGUACAUGCUUGUGUUGAUCAGUGCUUUAUAUUUACGUGGAGACGAAUGCGUUGGAUAUUUUGUUCAAAUAGGAGGGAUAUAUCUAAGCAUAUCGCCACUAGGGAAAGGCCACUCUACUGUUCAGGUUGAUAAACUUUCCGUAAACGGGGUUUACUUGAUCAAAAUUGGAGGUUAAGAUAGCUUGUUAUUUUUCACUGGGAUUAGACUUAUGUUUUACUCAGAAAUUCUGGGUAACUAUCUCUGAAAUAAAAGAAAAAUGAACCUAAUUAGUCUGAUGUAAAGUUUCUGCUGGACAUAUUGACAGAACUUAUUCACCUGCACCUGUUCUAUUUCUGACGAGUAUCUCCAGACUAUUUAACCCUCGCAACCACAAAUGCCAAUUUUUCAAGACUCCUCACAGGAAGAAAAAGAGAGGUAUAGCAAAUCAGGAAUGUUUAUGCAUGGAAGGUCACUUGAUGCAGAUAGAGAGCAUUCCUUACUCUAUUUACACAUAUCUUAUAUUCCUUCUGCUUGGUCAGCAUAUAUGGUUUGUGGGGCCAGUUCUGUCUGGUCAAGCAUGUUAAUGUAUCAGGGGAAGAGUGCAUUCUGAGAUCAGUUGACAUGUUAAUGUGGAAUAAAAGAAAAUGUCACUAAGCUUCUCAACAUGGGCAUGCUCGACAGCCAGGUAGUUAUAUAAAAUAUUCUUAUCUAUAUUUACUGAAGUUUAUGUAUGUAUGUCCAGUUUAUCCAUUAAUUUACAUCCUUGGUCCUCAUGGUGCUGCCACUGAAGUAGAUCAUAAUGCAUUUUACUGAAGUGGGAGUAAUGCCAGUUCUCCACUCAGCGUAAUGUCCCUCUGAUAUAUAUGAAUCUACUUUUCAUUGUUGCAACUGAUGUACUGCCACACAAGGACAAAUACUUUAGUUGUGUACUAUAGGAAAAACAUGAUUCUUCCAUCCUGCGGCUGGGUGGUUGUAUUCAUAGAACCGCAAAUAUUUUCUUAUGAUUGCCUUGAAUAGUAAUAGUAUACUUCAGUUCCACGCGCCUAAGAAUAAUUAAGUUGACCAAACUGGUUCUUUUGUAAGUUUGUAACCCAGGUAACUAAUUCUGGAACAGAGGAGAUUAGUACUUCAGUAUGAGAUAGUUACCACAUUUAAUGGAAGAUGAAAGAAAAAACAGAUAAUAGCUCAGUUUUUUGUUUUGUUCCACUAAUGUGCUGUGAUAUUAUGUAAGGUCUCGCCAGAUCAAUACUCUUUGCCGUCUGAUUAAGAUUCAACUGGUGGAGCUGUCGAACCCAUGCCUCUGCACACACCUGCUGGACAAUUUUCCAGGUAUACACACAGUCUCAGUGUGCCAAUAUGUUUCUUAUGCCCUGCACCUCCCAGUAGUAUUUUCAUUACCGACUUUAUGUUAUCAAACAGUGCCAACAAUAGCCAGGGAUCAACCCUCGUCUGUAAGGCCCUGUUUCACAUUCUAGACUCACAAGAGCACUUCACUGGUAUUCUUAUAUUUAUGGCCUAUAUCACACAGAGAUCUGCCUUAUACACUGUAUUAUAAAACUAUAUUAUUCCAGAUGCGACUGCCUUCUCUUUCUGUGUAACACUCUGCAAUUAUUUUUGUGUUUCUCUGCUGAGAUCUGCUUCUGUAUGCAGUGCGUUCCCUCAUCACAGUUACCCAGCGUACAGUCUAUUCGGGUGAUUAUCGAAAUCCAAAGAUAUGAUUUAAAACUUAGCAUUUUGUUUUGCUAUAUGAUACUGCUAUCCAAUAAAUAGUAGACACUAAGUUCUGUAUACAGCAAGUAGUCUUUGGAGAAAACAAGGGGUCCAUGAGUUGAAAUCUUUGUGCUUUCGUUGCAGACCUGUCCAUUCUAUCUGGUUGCUGUGAGGUGAGCCCUUUCAGAAACCAGCAUUGUGCUGUGCCACAGCAGUUUAUGUUUACAGAGUUUCUAAGUUGCAUGUACAAUGAUUUCAAUUAGCAUCCACAUCCAGGUCUGACAUAUAAAUUCAUUUCUUUUUAUAUACUGCUCACACAACAGGAGACCUAUGGUCUGGUGUCAUCAGCACAUGUCUUACAGUUAGUUCUGCUUAUUUUUAUUCUGUUGCUGCUAAUAGCGUAUCUUUGGCUCCUAUUUACAUAUACUUUUGCAAGGCUGAUUACGAAUUCCGACCAUUAUUAUGUUAUAUAAUAUAUGGGAAAAAUGGAAAAUACGAAAAUAUGUGGCAAGACAAAUUUAAUGGGCGAUUGCAGGUCAUAGCAAAAGGAGAACCUAGGCGAUCAAAACCGAAGGAGAAAUAAGAGUUGGGAAUGAGAGGAAAUUACAGCUCAGGAGGGGAGGCGACAGGCAACCCAAGCUCAUAGAAAUAGAGAUAGUGGUGGAUCUUGACGGACUCCAGGACUCUCUCCCUGCUGUCGUCAGCGGUGUGAUAUGCCUCCAUGAACUCCCAGUACUUGGCCAGAUUUUUUGCCUCGUCCACCGUCUCCGGUUUCAGGCCUAUGCGGCACUCCAUCUUGGGCAUGACGAGGGUUGCCGCCAACAACCUGACUGCUAUGCAGUUGGUGACCACAUGGUGCUCGACCCUUGCCAGCACCACACUGCUAUUGGCGAUCAUAUCUCAAUGACUCCGUCUGGUGACCGGUGCCCAAGUUAAUGACAAACGCAUCGGGUUCUGUGGGAUGAGGAGCCACCUUCCGUGUGAUAUAGCUGAAUGGUUGGACGAAUUAUAUGGCCGAACUAAUCGGGUUAAUGACAAAGCCGAACUCCUUGCCGGCCUGGAUGACAUGGCUGAAUGGUCUCAUCUAAUUAUAUUUUUCCAAAUCAUGGUUGGACGAAUUAUGUGUUGUCAGUUCCAGUUUUUCCCAUGUUGGGAUUUUAAGAGUGAUUUGGGAAGUAUCAGUGUCGAGUGAUGGGCCAACGGAGACAGUAUUGCACUCGUUCCAUCUUCAGAUACAUGGACAUGGGCCAACACGGUGAGAUCAUGCUCUCCUUCCACUAAGACAUACUCUUUGAUUGUUUUUCUCUCCUUUUACGUGCUGGAUUUUAGUAAGAAAUCCAGAUAUUGUAAUGCGAAUUAGUUUCCUUCUUUUGAUCAUUGAUUGAUUUCGUUGCGAACUGCACUUAGCUUCUCUUUCUCUCAUUGCUUCAUGUCAUUAGUUACUUUCACGCCUUGCAGCUAGCUGUUCCUAGCUGCAGAAUUGCAGAGUUGUAUCCAAUUAUCUGCAAACUACUGGAAGCAAUAUCAUGUGGCAAAAUUUAUUCUUUCAUGGUUUCAUUUUGCAUCUGUUUUAUGUGGUUCUGUCUUCUGCCUGCCAUCUUCCUUGCAAUUCUCACUGUUGUCUUGUUCCUUGCAAUUGUUAGCUAACCCAUGAACUUUGUCAUCACCCUGCAGAAGCUGCUCAAGUCGAACUACCAACCGUUGGCUCUGACCAGAGUCCAGACUUACUGUGUGGAUGGUCUAAGAUAACUAGAAGUGGAUCCUUCUGAUAUUUUCUUGACCCAGUGAUGCCUGACCAUCCGCGAGCUGCUCUGAACUGCUGAAGAAGGGGCCUUAGUUCCCCAUCUGUAAGCUGAUUUCGGAUGUCCUGUCACACCUAGUUUGUAUUUGACCAUCUGUAAGCUGAUUUCGGAUGUUCCGUCGGCUCUCUACUUUUCUUGUUUAACUUAAACAAUGCCAUAUCUUCAAUAAUUGAUUACUUUGGUGAUUCGACGGCUCAAGCGCAUCGUUCCUAGUUGUCAAAACGAUGGUCUAUGGCAUUACCUAUUAUUUUCACUAUGUAUAUCAAAUAGUAGAAUCUUCACUACACUAAUAAUUCUAUCAUUAUACAACAAAAAAUUCGUACAACCUAUUUUUUUUCUCACAUUAAACAAUAGUCUAUUAUUGGGUCUCGGCGUUGGAGCCGCCCAGGGGUUCGAAAGGCCGAUCCUUUCUGCUCGUCUCUUUGGUUGGGUAGCGGCUUGUCUCAGGUGAGGUGGUGUCUAGGUUUUGGAUGCCGGGGCGGCGGCCCUGGUGGUGGCACGGUGCUCAUGGGCAGAGCCCAUGGCGCGGUGCUGCCCGGUGGUCAUGGCCGCGUGGGUGGCAUGGUCGCUAGGGUGUGGCGUUCGGUGGCAGUGAGUACUGGCGAGGGUGAAAACCUGAUCUAUCUUCGGACGGACAGGCGGCGGCGAAACUCGUUCCCUUCUUGAAGGCGUCGUCGCGGCUCUCAUUGCCCGCGUGUUGCUUCAGGGGAAACUCUGAUCUUUGGGUGUGUGCGUGUGUUCCGGUUGCUCUUGUAGUGCUAGGGGUGGUGUUGCUGUGCUCAGCACCAAUGUAUUCUGCCUUGGGUGUGUAUGUGUGUUCUGUUGGCGUGCGUUUGUAUCGAAUUGUGGAUGAUCAUUGCUUUAUAUAUAAAAAGCGGGCCGAAAGCCUUUUUCGGUAUUAUAUGGUCUGUUCUGGCGACAUGUUUUGGCAAUUGUCCGUUUUUGGUAUGGUGAAAUGUUGUUGGAACACUGUCUGUUGCGUACUUGUAUUUCCUUUUUUGAUCGGGUUGAACACUGAUUCUCAGAAUAGUCUGGCCUUGGUUGGUGAACGGUGAUUCUUCCUGUGAUCAUUUGAAACCGCACAAAUGAGAUGAUGUUCUUCACUGAUUUAUUGCUCCUUCAUUUGCCCCGAAUUAUAGCGUUGGUUUGUCGUAAGUCUGCCCUUCCAUCCUUCUUCCACAGAUUGCAGAUUUCAUCUUGAACAUGCUAACGAGAAAAUCAACGUGGCUGAAUGGGCUUAUCUAAUUAUAUUUUUCUAAAUCAUGGUAGAACAAAUUAUGUGUUGCCAGUUCCAUUUUUUCUCAUGUUAAGAUUUUCCUAGUGAUUUGGGAAGUGUGAUUUGCCGGCACUCAUUGCAUCUUCAGAUCUGUGGUCAUGGGCCAGCGCAGCUACCAAGAUAGUGCUUGAGAUCACGUUCUCCUUCCACCAAGAAGAGAAGCACCCUCAAACUUGUCUUAAUCCUUUCACUUUUUGAGAAUUACUCCUUAAUUCGACUGCUGGAUUUAAUAUUUUGUUAGCAAGAAGUUGAUAUAUUUUAACACGAUUUAGAUAUGCUUCUUCUGUUCAUUGGUUGAUAUUGUUAGUGAAAUUCUGUACUUGCUUCUCUUUCUCUCAUUGCUUCAUGUCAUUAGUUAUUUUCACGCCUUACAAUUAGCUGUUCAUAGCCGCAGAAUUGCAGAGAGUUGUAACUCGUAACCAAUCGUUUGCAAAUUACUGGAAAUGAAUAUCAUUUGGACAAUUUAUGUUUUCAUGGUUAUAUUUUGCCUCUGUUUUCUGCUUGUCAUCUUGUUUAUGGAUUCUUUGAAGUGCUUCCUUGUGUUGAUGGUCUUGUGCUUUGGUUUUCAGAUUGCCGCUGUUUGUGAUCCGGUAACAGCAGUCCUUGGCGUUGUCCCUGCUACUUUCUGUCACGUUGAUUAAGUUGAAAGUAGAGGACAAUUAACUAAACAUGUUGAAAGUACACAUACAUACAUAUCCAUCGAGAUGAGGCAUGUAGAGGACAGAUUUUAUUAGGUGGAAACAUCUCCGAACUCUAGGGAUCAUUUGUCAAAGAGUCUGCUUACCAGGAGAGAAGGAGGCCUGCUGCGUACAUUUUUUUUAAAAUGGAGGAGGACCCCGGCCUCUGCAUUUGGACGAUGCAUGUAGCCACUUUAUUAAUUAUUCACACAAGACCUUAUAAUGUCAUACAAAAGUAAGGCUAAAGCCACCGUUUAGGCAACAUGUCGCUACUCCUAUCCAGUUGAUGAAGGGAUGCUGAUAGUCUGGGCCUAAUACCAAACAGACCUUGCAGCCAAACCUAGCAUCUAAGACCCGAGGUCCCAACCAGGACGCCUGCCGGAUAUGGGGCACCCACCAGUCCGGCGCACUCCUCAACCUGGACGCCUGCCGGGUAUGAGGCCCCGCAGCCACCUGCCACCACUCCAUCUUUAGUGUUGUACUGCUGCAUGUACCUUGCCCGGUCUACCUGCCGUCGACGCCACCACGACGCCAGACAACGCCAUCAUCCUGCGCUCGUCCAUCAUCACACGCCCACCAGCGAGACCCCGCUGCUCCAUGCCACUGAGACCCGCCGGUGUCGACGUGUCAGAUACCACGCCGCUCCUCCUCUUGUCCCCUCCAGCCAACACUUGCUCCAAAACAAUGCCCCCAGGAGGGAGAACGACAUCGAAACGUCGCCAUCGUCCGAUCCAGUAGAUCCAGAUCUAGGGUUUCCCCCGGAACUUUCCGAUCAGAUUGACGUGACCUGCAAAGACGAUGCCUCGAGAAGGGAACGACGUCAGAGACGCCGCCAUCGUCCGCCAUGACCGCAGUCAGGCGCGAUUUUCACCGGAAACCACGUCGUCCCGAUCUCGCGGUUGGCUGGAACCGACCGGUGCCCGCCGCCGAACCUGUGACACCGCCACCGAUCCGGUCACGCCACCGCCGUGCGACGCCCCCGAUGGAGAUCUCGAUCGAGAUCGAAGACGACCCUGACCGAAACCCCGCCACCAGUGCCGCCGCACCGCGCCACCUCCUCCUAGCCCAGUCGCCGCCGGAUCCAGCCGUACCCACGUUCGGGAGACCAGUCGGUUGAGGCACCCCUUGUCCCCGAACAGCCGACCCGCGCCCCCGCCACGAGGACCAGAGGAAGGAGGGAGUGACAACGGGGGCAUAGAGUGCUGAUGGAGAUGCCGUGGGUGAGGAGGGAUCCACCUCACCUUGGUGGCAGCCAGGUGAUCUGACCCAUCUAAUCCAUGAAGCGCUCAUGUCUACGACCCUCUCAGCAUCACAUUGUUUUUUUCGAAACGGAUGCAAAGAUUGCCUCAUCUAUUAAUUUAGCAGAAGAGAAUUGCCCAGUUAAUUACGGAAAACCGGGCAAAAACCGAAACAACAAGGGCCAAGCCCACUCUCAUAGACUGAAACACACAGGGCAAAGCCCACCCUAAUCGAUGACAAGUUGACCUGCGGCCAGACAAUGUAGCUCCGACUCUAACGGAGAGCUCAGAAGAACAAAACCAGGCACGGCUGGCGCCACGGAAGAUCGCCGAAUGGGCCACCUGCAGCCAGUCAUCAUACACCACAGGGCCCCGCCGCAGCAGCUUCGACUCUACAACAACAAGCAAACCGAGGCAAAAUCGUGGACACGCCGGAGAAGAGCCGACUACCGCAACCAUUGCCGCGUCGCCGACAUCGCUCCCAUCAUCAUCGUUGCCACAGAAGUCUGGUCGCCACAGAGAUUCACUCGGGACCACCGCCCCGACAUCCACUGCUCCGUCGCGCCCAGCGCAAUCAACCGACAUCGCCUUCCGGGGCCGCCGCCCCGACAUAGCACCGCUCCACUCGAGCAGCAACGCCACACAACCCAGCUGCCCGCAGCCCAUGCUGCUCAGGGCAACCGCUCGCAGACCACGCACGUCGCAUCACAUCCGGGGCCGCCGCCCCAACGUAAAGUCAGACCGCCCCCUUUGGGGCGCAUCGACCGAGCUGACACCCCUACCGUCCAAGCGGGACAAGGAUACCACCCAAUCAAUGUCGAGAUAGAGCCCCACCUCAUAGAGCUGCCACUCACAUUGUUCCCGAGAUCGCCAUCUCGACGCAAAAUCAGAAACCAUCCGGAGCCGCCCCGACGACGAAGAGAUCCGUGCAAACUGCAACAUGCUGACUCUCCAAGACGAUGCCUCAAAGAAGGAAACGACGUAGAGGCUACCCGGACCCCUCUCAGCAACAAGCAUGCACAGGAGGAGUCGAGGACGAAACAUCUCCAAACUCUACGUACGGAUCAUUUCUCAAAUGGUCUUGCAGACCGAAAUAUCCAAUGGCUGAUUUACAAUACUACUCGUAAGAGAUUAGUGAUACUAACUAAAUUAAGACAACAAAGGUGGCGGGGAGAUUACUUAAGUUACAGACGAAAUGCAGAUAUGUGGGAUUCAUUGCGGGCGAUUAACUCGCUAUAAAACUGUGACAGAGGGAUGUCUUGGGUGCACCCGUGCAGCGCCCUUGAAGGCGGACUCAACAAUAUUAGCGCGUGUAUUUCUUCCACGGGUAUCGCGAAGAGUCACGUAGAUGUCCUGGAGGCAGGGUAGGCACUCCAUUCCAACUGGUGUAGCGCCUCUCCACUGACCCCAGCAGAAAUCCAUGGCGAGGCUCCCAUGUUUCCAGGUUGAGCAGCUCGAUACGGGGAGGAGGAUCAAGCAAUGACUCCAACUGGUUGCCAUGUACUUCGCAUUCAAUCUUGCAAUCGAGGGUCAGGCGCCUGAGGUCCCGAAGCAUUCCAAUGGAGGAUACCAAAGCAUCGACUUGUUCCGACACCAAGAAUUGGUCGUAAGGUGUGCAUAACUUCAAAUCCUCCACAUUUGUCAGCUUCCCAAGGCCUUUGACAUCCUCCAGCAAAGUCUUCGGCAUGCCAGUACAGUGCAGGUCACGGACUGAUUGCAUGUUCUGGAUCCCUUCAGGCAACACUGUACCAUACGGAAGUUUCAAAUGAAGCAAGCGAACUAUAUCUGAUGGAAAGCUUUGAGUUGGACAACAUGAUACAUGUAGAGUUUCCAGAUGCACAAGCCCUUGAAUUUCUGUAGGGAGCACUAAAUCUGCAAAUCUGGUAUCAAUCUUUAAAUAUCUAAGCAGAAACAAAUGGCCAAUUGCUGUAAGGUCCACUGACGUACCCCUUCGACCUGAAAACUCAAACAAAAGCACUCGGAGAUACUUAAACUGUGAAAGUGGAGUUGUGUACAUGGACUCUCCAAACCGUGCAUAUGAUCGAACUUGUGACAUGCUAGUAGCAAGGGUCUUCGAUGUUGCACUAACACUUGACUGGAGGGAUAAUCGACGAACUUUGUACUUGCAACUGUGCAAUCUUGCUAUGUCUUCAUAAUUAUAUGCCACACUUAUAAAAUUAUCUUCUGUACACUUGCUUAUGAUCAAAUCAAGCAUCAUGUCAUGUACUCUGCAGGAAAUUACCUUGCCACAAAAUGUUCUUCCGGGCUGAAUCAAGCUUCUGUUGAUAAGAUCAUUGAAAUAACUUCUUGCAACACCAUCCAAAUCUUGCCCAUGCAGAUUACAAAUAAAGCCUUCGGCUAUCCAUUGCCGAACUAGAUCAAUCGUGUAGAUCUCACGGUCUUCAGGAUACAUACCAAGGUACAAAAAAUAUGGCCUGAGAUGAACAGGAAGAUGCAUGAAGCUAAGGUUUAGUAUGCCCCUCAUCUCUUCUAAGGUGGGUUUUGUGGAAAACUUGGCACCAAGAGAAUUCUUUAUCCUUUCCCAUUUCAUUCAACAAUCUUUCCUCAUGGCUAGCUAAUAGGCUAGCUAUCGUGAUAAUUGCAAGGGGCAAUCCACCACACUUCUUGAGAAUUUCAACCAAAAUUUCUUUAAACUGUGGUGGGCAAACAUUUUGAGACCCAAAUACUCUAUUAAGAAAUAAUCUUCUUGAGUCUUGCUCUUUGAGGGGCUUCAUUUUGUAAAUGCAGGAAUGGUCAUUCUGACAUGCUCUGAGAGCCACGUCGUCCAAUCGUGUGGUUAUCAUUACUCCACUUCCAUUACAAUAAUCCGAAAAGGCACAACUAAGAAUAUUCCAUGUUGGCUGAUCCCACAAGUCAUCAACUACAAUAAAGUACCUGUUGCAAUUUUUGUACGAGUUAUUCAUACAUUAGAAUGGACUAUGGUUAUAACGUAUAGAGGAAAGCAUCACAACUAAAAUGAAGGUCACAAGGAUAAUGAAGGAUAAUGAUACAUGNNNNNNNNNNNNNNNNNNNNNNNNNNNNNNNNNNNNNNNNNNNNNNNNNNNNNNNNNNNNNNNNNNNNNNNNNNNNNNNNNNNNNNNNNNNNNNNNNNNNNNNNNNNNNNNNNNNNNNNNNNNNNNNNNNNNNNNNNNNNNNNNNNNNNNNNNNNNNNNNNNNNNNNNNNNNNNNNNNNNNNNNNNNNNNNNNNNNNNNNNNNNNNNNNNNNNNNNNNNNNNNNNNNNNNNNNNNNNNAGAAGGAAAUCUCAAGUCAACCCUAAAUUUUGUUGCCACACUAUUACUGAGAACUAUCCAUGCAAGUAUAUGAGUGAGUAAUACAAGAGAAAAUACCUCUUAUCUUUGAGGUAUUCUCGAAGCCCGUCAAUGAAGUCUUGGAGCUCGUGAGCAUGAGAGGAUUCCUCCAUCCCAAGCUUGAAUUGUAGUCCAUCGAGAAGGCUUUUCAUAUCUGGUCUUUGGGAGACUGAGACAAAUGCCUUACAGUUAAACCGUCCUCCAAUUUCAUCAUACACUUGUUUGGCAAGUGUAGUUUUACCCAAGCCUCCAAACCCCACGAUGGAAACCACUUUGAGUUUCUUGUGGGAAUCCAUCAACAAGCUGACCAGCUCUUCUCUCGGGCCAUCAAUCCCAACAAGGCUUGCUGCCUCCUUGUAGAUUGCCGUCAUUCGGGGAUCCACAAGCACAAUGUCAUGACUCGAAUUGAUGCAAUCAUCAAUCUUGUACCUCUCUCGCCGAGCAUUUGCCUCCACUGCAAGAUCCUUGAGCUCCUCGAUGCGGUUGGCGAUCUGAUGACGCCUCCCCAAUCUCUUGAGACGUUGAGCCAUCUUCCUGACAAAGCCUUUCUUUCCAUGGGCACAUUCAAUGUCAUGCAUGAAGUCAUCAAUGCAGUUAUCCAUAUCAUAGGUCAUAUCCCUGAUAUGUUCCCUCCAGUCCUUGGCAGAUGAAUCGAGCUUAUCCAUAAGCUCCAUCUUGUCAAGGAGAGCUUUCAUGGCGCUGAGCUCAUCCUUUAGGAUGAAGACCUGCUUCCUCACCCCCGUGAACUUCUUGUACUCCUCGUCGAGCAGCUUGGUGAGCUUGCCAAGGAGUGGGUUCAUCACCCCCGUCGUGGCACUCACCGCCAUUCCUCUCAGUUUGGUGAGCUAGCUACGUUUGUGUGGGGCAAGGUAAGUAAGCAAAGGCUGGUGAAGAAAGUUGUCUUGUGCAAUGGUGGUAUCUAUACUAGCAUAUCAAAACUCGGAGGGCAUGCUGCGGCCAAUCCAUUGCACUGCAGUCCAGGAUUAUACCUUAUGUUUGCCUCGAGAUCUGCAUGUGUGUUAAUUAACUCAAAACAGUAUGUACAACACUAGGAGUUAAUUACUCCUACUACACAAUGCAAAAUUUUGUUUCAUCGAUAAGAAGGCUACUUCCAAUGCAUUGGUGUUUACAUGAGGUGCUAAGUGCAUUAAAAAUAUUAGCAACUAGUCUCCCCAAUGCAUAAGUGCUUAGCUAUUGUAGCUAAGCUUCCCUCAUUGAAUUGUUUAACAAUUAAACUUCUUCAUGCAUUGGUUGUUAGUCAUUUUGCAUAGGUUCAUGCGUUUAGCAUUGUUUCCUCCUGGGGUCACCAUAGUGUCCUCUCUCCUAUUUAAUUACUUUGCCACAUCACUUUUUGCUUAUGUGGCACCCUUAACACCUGUACACGGUGGAGCAAUGGGAAGGGACUAAUGGUACUCCUAGAGAUGGACGUAGGCUGGUCAUAGUGGGUAGUAUUAUAUACUAGUAUCAUGCAUAUGAUACUACCUCCGUAAUGCAUAGUAUCAUAAACUAGUAUCUUAGGUAGUCUCAUUCAGUGGUGGAGCUACACCCUAGGCCUGGGGGGCCUGGGCCGGGUCGUGGCAAGAGUAUCCUUCGUUGACUCUAGUGGUUUUGUUACUGUUGGUCACUGUACAUCACUAUUGCAAUGAAGCAGGCCCGGGGCCCAGCACUAGCCUGGCUCCAUCCCUGGUCUCAUUUAUUGUCAUGCAUGACACAUACUAGUAGCAUAUAAUUUAUUAUGAUACAGUACCAUAAUAUGAUACUCAGUCCUCUCUUUUUUCAUUUAAUUCUACGCCACCUUAUCAAAAUUGCCUAGUUGGUAUGUAUGAUACCAGUUAUGAUACUCCCAUACGACCAGAUUAACUACUCCAACCAUGCAUUUUUAUACUUGUUGAUUGUGGGGUGGUUCAAACCGACGAUGCUUUAUGUCUGCCUCGUUCACAUUGGGCUUUCCUCGCAAGAUUCCUUUUGUUUAAUAAGAGCAGGAGAAUAUUGCUAUAUCUAUUCAUCAGUAGAAGAAAACAUGCAAAUUUUACACCCCAAAAACGCACGGCAGUUGGGCAGGGACACUUAAAAUUCCUGAUUGUACCUUUAAUUACAUGAAUAUGCUGUCUGUGAUACAGGAAAGUAGGCAGCAAGCGCCACUUGAUGCUGAUGAUCGAACAGGACAAGCCGUGCAAAAUUUUAAUUUGCUGGGAUUUGCAUACUUGUGCAAGUCUCCUCCAAUCUAUAUAUUGGAUAAUCUCAUCAUCUUAUAGUAUGGUUACUUCAUCAAUAAGACAUAAGACAACGACCAAUGAGCGCGUCAAGCAGUGCCGGCCGGCCGGUCAUUUUUCGUUUCUAUAUACGCCUAUGACAUGACAGGGGCCGGCCAACAACUACGCCUGGUCAUGUGAUUUGGAUCCAUCGAUAAUGCAGAGCUUUAGAAAAACAUUAAGCAAAGCGGGAAAAGUUAGGCUAACAAGCUUGGAUGUUGACACGCAGACGAACGCUAAUUAAUAAGCAACAUAUAUGGAGCAUAAGGGCUGCAACAAGUUAUCUCCGCAAGGCUGAUCUGCCUCGCUCUCUUGAUGCCAUUUGUUUUCUGGUGCCAUGGUCUUCGGAUGUUUGGUCUACUUAGGGCCUGUUCGGUAACCCUCCACCUCUUCAACUCCUCAAGCCAACAACCAGCUUCUCGCAAAACAUCCCGGAUCGAGUCAGCCAAAGGAGCUCAUACGACGCUAACUGCGGCAAACAGUCAGCCUGAUGCACAGGAGCGUCCCUGACUAGGCCGGCCCAAAUACAGCUUGCAAUAUGGCAGUACAAAACACGUGCUGCUAGCCACUACCUAAUGACAGAUGGUAACACGUAAUAGCGUGAACGGUUUUUAACUAUAACGCGAUAUUCACUCUACCGUCCUAUUUACUGUAGCAUACAGAUUGUUCAUUUUUUUGAACCAUUUUAAAAAAUGACAACAAAAAUUUAGAAAUUAUGAAAAAAAUUGAAAUCCUUAAAUAGUUUUUGAAUUACCGGAACAAAAUUUAGAAUUUUGCCAGAUUUUGAAAAUUUCUGAACAUCGUUUGUAAAAGGACAAAAUUUAUUUUUACAUUUUCACAUUGUUUGAAAAAUUUUGAACACAAAUUUAGAACCAUCGGGACAUUUUUUAAAUUCGAAAAAAAUGUUGAAAAUGCGAACAUUUUUUGAAAUUGCGAAACAUUUUUCUUAAGUUGUGAAUAAAAAUUUUAAAACAAGAACUUCUUUUAAAUUCCUGGACAUUUUUUGAAACAAAAAACAUUUAAUGAAAAUUGUCAACAUAUUUUGAUGACGAGAACAUUUUUUGAAUCCCUUAACAUUUUUUGAAACACGAACAUAUUAUGAAAUCAUGAUAAAUACGGAAACAUCAAUUCUUUUAUGAAAUCAUGAUUUUUUUUAAAUAAUAAUAUUUUCUGAAAUCUCUGAAUAUUUUUUAAAAUCCUGAACAAAUUUUCAAAAUGAGAACAAUUUUUGAAACACAAACAUUUUUAUUAAAGUACAAACACAUUUUGAAAGAAAGACUAUUUUUUGCAGUUCCUGAACAUUUUAUGAAACACGAACAUUUAAAAAAAUGUGAACACAAUUUUGAACACGUUAACAUUUUUUUCAAAUUCAGAAGAAAAAAUUGAAAAUUUCAAACAAAAGCAACAGAAAAAGGAAAGGAAAAAAUAGAAACGAAAAAGGAAAAGGAAAACAAAAGAAACAGUAACUAAAAAAAACAGAGAAAGUUCCUAAAACUGAUAAAAAUCAUUGGCAACCCUCUAGAAGAUUCGCAAAAUCGAAAGCUUCUACGUUCUACAAAUGUGCCGGCCCAAUCGCUCGCUCGGUCGCCUCCUCUGUGCGUUUGCUGGACAGUUUGACGCAACGUGCGUCAAAUAGGAAUUUCUGCCAGCCAACCGUUCGGGAGCACAACCUCUUUCUUUUGCCGAUUUCCUCCUGGGCUGAAAGCUCAUUUAGUUGUUUCUGGCCCAAUUGUCUAUAGUAGGCGGGCUAUUAGGUAUGGGGCUGGGAUUUGACUGGGUUUCAGCCAGCCAUACAAGCAAACUGGCUCGUUGAAGCCCAUGUCCGCAGCCAAGAGGGGAACAGAAGGACAUAACGCUCGAAUUGGUACGAGCUAACCUCACUUUGGCAAGGACUGGUAAUUUCAGGCAACUCCCGCUUCUUUGUUUUGGUGGAGCUCGGUUUACCCAUCUCCACAACUCCUCCAAAUUUUCACUACAAUAAUCGCCAGCUUCUUGUGAGGAACUCCCAGAGUUAGCCUGUUCGGCUCAACUCCGAACACGAGUUGGAGGAGUUGGGCUACCGAAAAGGCCCUUACUUAAACGCCAUGCUCUGAGCUUUCAUUUCUGCCAUUCGGAGCCCAUCACCUUUCGGUUGGAGCAUCCUUUUCUCCAGGCUUUCAUUUCUGCCAUUCAGAGCGUCCUUUCGGUUGGGCUUUCUUGUGGCUAGCCUUUCAUUUCUGCCAUUCGGAGCCCGACACCUUUUGGUCUUUCCAUGCUUUGUCUACUUAAACGCCACACUCUGGGCUUUCUUUUCUGCCAUUCUGAGCCCGUCACCUUUCCGUUGGGCCUUCGUUGUCUCUAGGCUUUCAUUUCUUCCAAUCGAGGCCGUCAACUUUCGGUUGGGCUUUCGUUGUGUCUGGGCUUUCAUUUCUGCCAUUCCGAGCCCGCCACCUUUCGGUUGGGCCUUCGUUUUUCUUUGGGCAUUCUUAGCUCGACCUCACUAGGAUGCCACAGUCGGCCGUGUUACCAGCGCCUCGCUGUUGUCACGCUCUUCCCCACAGAAAAGAUUGGUGUGACGCAAAAAACGUAUAUGUUUCGACUAAAUAUUCCAAGAAACAUCUUAGACAUGUUGCGGCCCGACACUGGAGGUCCUAUAUAUUGACACUGGGUAGACAAGCAAGAGGAUGCGUAGAGGCCGAUGGCUAGCGCGGGCGUCUUGCGGCUUGCUCAUCGAAGCCAUGUGUGUUGCCUUGCUUACUGAAGCCAUGCAUGUUGUCAAGGUACUCGAAGCCUAGGGAAAUCAUCGAAGAUGUUGAUCCUAUAAUCCUUGGCCUUCUCGACCAACCAUUCAUGGUUUUCGAUCUGGUUGGAAGGGUUUCGUAUUGUGGUUUCCAAGUUUGACUGGUUUGUCGGGUUGUGCGUCUAGACAUAUGGGCUAGGUUUGGGGCGCCUACUGGGCAUUUGGAGGAGAAAUGGCUACGCCCUUGGAGACGUCCUUAGGGCAUAUAGUUCUAGAUCAUAUUUUUUCAUCAAAAAUUUCUACGUAACAAAAGUAUUUACCAUCAUGUUUAUUGAAAGUGAUACUAUAAUAGAGUAAAUUCAAAAUUGUUAUAAAGUAUUGAACAAUUUUUUUCCAACAAAAGUUUUCUAAAAUAUAGUCCCCCCUCUAUAAAAAAACGAUCAUAUAUGUUAAUAAAGUUCACAUUUAUGACAAAUAAAACAUUUAUGCUACUUUUUUUAGUUGAAAAAAUGUCCUAUUUGUAGAUUUGUUUUCUCCCGAGAUACAUCACACGGUUCACAAAAAUGAUCAUGCAUGUCAACUAGAAGUGUCAUCUAUUUCUAUGUUUAUAUUGAUUGAAAUAUCCUAUAUGUAUUUUUUUCUUAAGAUUUAUACUACUUCAUUGUAUACAAUUUAUUUAUGUAUAUCAAAUAAAAUAUUCACUGUAUUAUAAGAAUUAUUUCAUCAUACAAAAAACAUUCCAUGUAAACCUUUUAUUCGUCUCAAGGGAAUAAAAAUCUGCUAUUGAUAACAAAUUAUCCAGUAGUGAAAAAAAUUCUGAUAUUUUAAGUAGUGCCAAAGACAUAGAUAAAAAAUUUAUACCCCCUCCGAUCCAUAUUACCUGUCGCAGUAUUAGUACAACUGUGUACUAAAGCAGCGACAAGUAAUAUGGAUCAGAGGGAGUUUAUAUUGAAUUGUCCAUGAAAUUUGCUUAAAAUGUUCAUUGUGCUUGUAAAAAUUAUCUCGUCUGCUAAAAAAGUAUUUCAUAUGAAUGAGAGAAUUAUUCCAUAAUACCCUUUUUUGUCUUCAUAUAUACUCCCUUCUUCCUCCACAUCUUCUAUCUCCACACUCGUAGCCUCCUCCCCACCAUCGGGGCCCCCAUUUCCUUGAACCCUAGUAGCUUUGUAGGUGACCGACGUUGGUCGAGACAUGGUAUUGGUUAUCAUUUUAGGACAUGCCCUUUAGCAUUGGAGUGGGUGUGUUUGAGUUGCAGUGGUGUUUGCUACUCAUCAACCUAUGCGGGAGCUUGCUUGUUUCAAUAAAGCUGAGGCACACAGUGUUCGUGCUCUCAAAAGAAAAAGAUUGGUUUUCUCCUGAGAUACAUCUCAUAGUUCACAAAAAUUAUCAUGCGUGUCAAAUAAAAAGUGUUAUCUAUUUCUAUUUUUUAGAUUAAUAGAAAUAUCCAAUAUGUAUUUUUUUUCUUAAGAUUUAUACCAUUGCAUUGUAUACAAUCUAUUUAUGUAUAUUAAAUAAAAUAUUCACUAUAAUUACAAUAAUUAUUUCAUCACACAAAAACAUUCCAUAUAUACAUUUAUUUGUCACAAACUAAUAAAAAUCUGCUAUUGAGAACAAAGUAUCUGUUAGUGAAAAAAGUAUGCAUUUUAAAGUAGUGCCAAAGACGUAGAUAAUUUUUACUUUAAUAAAUAGUAUAUAUUUCAUUGUUCAUGAAAUUUGUCUAAAAUGUUCACUGUGCGUGUAAAAAUUAUUCGUCGGAUAAUUUAUAUUCCAUAUAAAUGAGCAAAUUAUUCCAUAAAACCUGUUUUUCUUCGUCAGGUUAAUAAAAUGUCACUGCCGAGAACAAAAAAAAAACAUGAAAAAGGAAGAAUUGUAAUUCUGAAAAGGGAAUAAAAACGGAUGACAAACAAACCGAAACUAAUCUGGAUACGAACAUCUUAGGCAGGCCAGGCCUAUAUUGACACUCACUACGACGACGGGCCAGAUCAAAACUCCUCCGGUCCAUGCAGCCCAUAUUGACUGACUACUAGGUCACUCACUACGACGGACCAGAGCAAUUGCAAUCCACCGGAAAUAUCUCUGUCGCCGCCGGCGCCGGUCGCCGCCGCUGCGCCAUGCUCCGGCUCCGAGAGUGCGUCGUUUCCCGCCUCCUCUCUCCUUCCUCCACCUGUGCCGUCUCCCCUCUGCUUCGCCUCCUCUCAGCAUCCGCAUCGGCACCCCCCAUUUCCCCGAACCCUAGUAGCUUCGCCGUGGAGGAGUACCUCGUCCACACCUGCGGCCUCACCCGGCCCCAAGCCCUCAAGGCCUCCACCAAGCUCUCCCACCUCAAGUCCCCCGCCAACCCCGACGCCGUCCUCGCCUUCCUCGCCGGCCUCGGCCUCUCCGGCGCCGACGUCUCCGCGGUCGUCGCCAAGGACCCGCAACUCCUAUGCGCCAAAGUGGACAAAACCCUGGCUCCGGUGGUCGAUGGGCUCACCGACCUCGGCCUGUCGCGUUCUGACAUCGCCCGCCUUGUCUCGCUCGCCCACGCCUAUUUCCGCUGUAGAUCCAUAGUCUCCAGGCUGCAGUACUACCUGCUCCUCUUGGGCUCCUUCCACAACUUCCUCCGGCUGCUCAAGCACUCACCCCGCCUUCUGUCGUGGGACCUCGACAAGGUUGUCAAGCCCAAUGCUGUGUUUCUUAGGGAGUGCGGGCUAGGUGAUUGUCAUAUUGCCAAGCUGUGUAUCCCUGUGCCGAGGAUGCUCGCCACCAACCCGGAGCGCGUCCGGGCAAUGGUGGCAUGUGCUGAAAGAUUGGGUGUACCUCGUGGCACUGGAAUGUUCAGGCAAGCGCUACGGGCUGUCGCGUUUCUCAACGAGGAGAAGAUUGCCACCAAAGUGAACUACUUGAAGAGUACGUUCAGGUGGUCUGAUGCCGAAGUGAGCAUUGCUGUGCGCAAGUAUCCGAUUCUGCUGGAGAAGUCAAAGGAAUCUCUGAACCGCAGGUCCGAGUUCCUGUUCUCUAAGGUGGGGGUGGAACCCGUGUACAUUGCUCAUCGACCGGAAAUACUUUCUUAUAGCAUGGAGGGCCGACUCAGACCCCGGUACUAUGUUAUCAAGUUUCUCAAGCAAAAUGGACUGCUAGAUCGUGACUUGAGCUUAUAUUCUGCGGUCAAGAUGACUGAGAAGGUAUUUGUGGAGAAGCUCAUAUGCCCUCACAAGGAAGCCGCGCCACACCUCGCUGAAGACUAUGCAACAGCUUGCAAAGGGGAGAUGCCAACUAAUUUCAGAUUCACAUGAACAAAAAAGGGCUAUGGAAGUUGGUUACAGUGUAUGGCGCAACAAAGUUA